rnacentral:lncRNA from 1 species
AAAACCUUAUUGAAUGCAAAGAACAAGAUACAAGAUCAUGCUAAGAUUUUACAAUGAAGUGAUGAUGAGAAAUACUAGUAUUACUAACCAAUUCAAAGAUAGAGAGACUCUAAAUUUGUGAAAUUCAUUAGCCACAAGACUUAACUACACCUAAUUCUACAAAACCAUUCAAAUAGACAAAGUAAAACAUAUAAUUUUAGUGUUGAUGGUAGACUAUGACCGUAGUGAUUGGCCACAGGUGGACGUAACCAACUACUCCCUCUGUCUCUGUAUGUAAGUAUCAUUUACCUCUAAUAAAAAAGUGUUUAGAUAUAACGACAGAGGGAGUAUGACUUUAGCCUCCUUUUGAUUUUACAAAUUCCAUGAGUUAUGGUGACAGUUUCUGCCAAGUGUUGCGAAUUUAAAUAGUUUUACGAUGAAUUUCCACAUCCAAUGUAUUGAAAAAGCACUCCAUUACCAUUAUUUGAUUCAUUGGCCAUAAAGAGUUCAUCAAAUUCAUGUCUACCACUAUUUCUUCAUCAAUUCUUCAAAAUCUCUUGACCAUAUCUAUUUAUUGGAAAAUAGAUAAAAAGUAGUAAAGUAAUUCUAAAAGUAUAAUAAAAACUAAUAAUUACUUAAAGACAAAUUCUAUGGUACAUCCAAUAAAUUUGGGUGUAUCGGUACACCAAGUCGUAAAAUUAAUAAUAAAUGAGUUGUUUUUUUGAAGAAAAAUAAUUAUUUUCUAUCAUUGACAACUAAGAUAAUUAAAUUUUAUUUACCAAAAGUUUCGACGAAAUAAAAUUUAAUUUUUAAGAAUUUUUAUUACUCAUAACAAUGAAUAUUGAUUAUUUUUUAUGAGAAAAUGUAAAUUUUUUAAUAUGAUCCUUAUAAACAAUGAAAUGAUUGUUUUUCUUAUGAAAUGAUGUUUUCUAAAAUAUAAAUAUUGACAAAUACCUUUUUAUUUCAUUAAAGUGAUCGUUAAUUUAUAUAUUUUGUGAAACAAGAGUACUGGUACACUCAAAAUUGUAAGUGUACCAUAGAAAUUCUAUGCAUAAAAUACGUAUAAAAAAAUGUCAUCAAACGCCCCAUGCAUGAAACAUUGUUUGUCCUCAAGCAAUUGUUUCGGUAUGAAAUAUUAGGAACAAGCAAACAUAAAAAUUAAUAAGAACAAAAUUCAAAUGCAUGUGUAAGCAUAGGGCAAAGUCAAAAAUCAAGGGAACACCAACUUAAGUUUCAAGUUAGAGUCUUAGGCUCUCUAAGUCACAAAUUCUCAACAAAAAUGGGCACUCACCUCACAAAAUCACUCAUUUUAGAAAAAUGUAAUUGAGUCUCACUAAAUUGUUUAUCAGCGAAUAAGUCCUGCUAUAGGGUUGACAAUAAACCUACUUUUCUACUAUUUCUCUUGUGGAAGCAAACAUGAAUAAAAAAAGCACUCUUUAAAGUGCUUCAUUUUCAUUAUACAUGCUUCACAAGAAAAUAGCUUCAAAAAGGUUACAAGUAAAAUUCUAGAGGAACAUAAAUCAAUGAGAGAUUUCACUCGAAACAUGGAGAAAGGGAGAUAUUUUGAUUUUUUUUUUUUUUGGUUUUGUUCAAGGACAUAUAAUGACUCGAAAUCUCACAUUUAUAGGGCUAACUUCUCAAGCAUGGAGUUGGUUCAUCAGAUAAAAAUUUACUUACCAUCUAUUCACACAUACACAAGAAUUAAAAUUACAAGUAUAUUAUAACAAAAUGUUCAAGCAAAUGAGUAACUUGACUGUAAUAGUCAAAGUAAGAAAAACAAAAGAAAACAUAGAUUAAAGAAGAACAAAAUUAGGUACCCCACUCCAUAUUUGAAUUGGACAUUAUACUCAAUGUUUUAGCAUGAAAAGGUAAAUAAAGUGAAUGAGUAAUAAAAGCUCAAAAGAUUGUUUGAAGAAGGAUGCCUUAUUGAUUGGAUUGCUUCACAUCCUUGAUAUAAAUCUAGAUUUUGUCUUUAUCUCUUGAUGUAGCUUGAAGAUCUGAUCAUGGUUAUUAGUUUUGGGAUUGGUGCAUGGGUGUAGAAAUUAGGAUGAUGGAUGGGUUGUUAUAUGUGGUUUUGGAGAAUAAAAGAAAACAAAAGUAAAGAAAUUAAAAUUUGAGUAUUAUUUUUCUCACCCUAUGCCAUACUCACGCGCUCUGCAAAAAUGAUCAAUAUGCCAUUCGGAUUAUAUAAUUCGGAAAAAUACGAAAUACAUUCCGGAUUACGUAAUCUGAACUUCUUCGGUAUAUAUAAGGAAGUUCACCCCUCCCAUUUUAUAGUUUCACUUUUAACCAUCUCUCUCUCUCUCUCUCUCUCCCCCCGAAUUGAAGGUUAGUUCGAAUUCCUUAUGCAUGCAAGUUAAUUUGGCCAAUUUCUUUCUUGUGCACUGAAGUUGUCGGAUUACAUUUUCGAACUAGAUUGUUGAAGUUCGGAAUGUAAAAUCCGAUUUUUACUGGUCUUAUUUUUUUUUUCUAUUUUGUGCCUUUUAUGUUGAUUAUGUGUUACCCUAAUAUGCAUGUUACAGAAGAGGUGAUAACUUAGUUAUGCACGCAUCCAUUAGGAGAGAGCAUCGGCAACAGGCGGAUGUGGAGUGUGUAUUUCAGGCUCCCAGGCGUAGGGCUGGUAUGUAACGCCCGCUUCGAUUUAUUUAAUUAUUUAAUCGAGUCUAGAAUUUAUUUAGAUGAGUUUAUAUUAUAUUUAUAUGAUAUAUGCGAUUUAUGAUGAUUUAAGAUGAUUUGGAUGAUUUAUAUGAUUAAGAUGAGUUGAUGUGAUUUUAUGUGAAUUAUGAGGUGUGGUGACUUAUUUUAUUGUUUAAUAAAAUAAGAUUUGAAAAUAAAAUAAAUAUUGAGUUUAGGGGUUGUUUUGAAAUUUUAGAGAGUUUUGGGGGAGAAAGAGAAAUAAGAUAAGAUAGAUGGAAGAGAUAUAAAUAGGGAAAACCUAGUUAGAAAAACAGAACGUACGAUCAGUUUUUGGAAAAAGGGAGAAAAAGCCAAGAGAAGGGAGGAAGUGUAACACCCCGUUACCCAAAGCAAUAAAAUAACAUAUAAACAUCAGAGUAAUUCCACAAACGGGCAUGCUACAUUGCAAAUUCCAAAAUUCUUAAAUAGAAAAUAAAACUAUUUAAUUCAACAUCAUUCAUAACUUCAAUAAUUAUGCAGCGGAAAGUUUGCAUUUCAAUAACAACAACAAUGUUUUAUUCUCCAACAACAUCUUGGCAUUAAGCCUAAACAACAAUAAGUUAGCCAAUGAAAGGGCCACAUCAACAAGUUCCAAAAAUUGAUACAUAGGAGGAAAACAACAAUAAAAUAAUAUAAAUGUUCNNNNNNNNNNNNNNNNNNNNNNNNNNNNNNNNNNNNNNNNNNNNNNNNNNNNNNNNNNNNNNNNNNNNNNNNNNNNNNNNNNNNNNNNNNNNNNNNNNNNCAAUAUUUUUAGGAAAUCUUUGGAUAUGUUUGGCGGUUCCUAAAGAUGUUUCUACUUUUUAGGAGAUGCUAUAUUUGUUUCUAUUUUGUUAUCUGGAUCAGCUGAAGGAUCUAUAAUGUUAUGGAGUCCAACAAGACUAUUAUAGCUUGUGUUGCUUCAGUAUAUAUUCAAGACUUCAAGACCUAAUCAAGUACUCAAGCCGUCAUUCAAGAAUAGAGUUUUUAGGUUUUUGAGUCGUUGUUCUUUGUGAGCCUUUUUCUUGUAUCGCUUUGAUACAUGAUAAGGACUGAGUUUUAGUGUUUGUUAAUUGUAAGCCUUCUUGUAUCACCUUGAUGCAAGGAUAUGACUCAUUUAUUGAGUUGUAAGUUGUAGCUACUCCUAAGCUUUGAAGCACGGAGGUAGGUUAUUGUUUGAAGGUAACUUCACCAUAUUGAGUUGAAAUCUGAUAAAUCACAGGGGCUGUGAUUGAUUGAGGGAAGUGAGAUGGGAUCUCAGAUCUAGGAGUUUCUAGGUUGAAGUCAAGACGGGUAGGUCCUAGGUCUAGAGUUGUAAACGAGGAGUUUGCUGAGAAAUUAGAAUAAGGACUACACUAGUGGAUUUCCUUCCUGGCUUGGUAGCCCCCAGAGUAGGUGUGUUUGUCACCGAACUGGGUUAACAAUUCUCCUGUGCCUUUUAUUUUCUUGUCUCUACAUUUACGUAUUUUAUGUUAGUUAAGUACGAUGUUUAAACAUUAAACUCAACAUUCGUUUUUGUGUGUCUGGUGUUGGAACAUCGCAUAGAACAUCUUAAAACUAACGUGCUAGAAUUUCAAAACCGAAUCUCAAAGAUAUUGAUAUGAAUAAAUCUGCAAGCAUUGAACAAACCAAAAUAAACCAGAGACAAGUCUGAGAAAAAUCAAACUUGUAUUUUAACUGAUGAAAUAGCAACAGACCCGAAAUAAAAUACAAAUUAUUCCGGGUCCAUGAAAUUAGAAAGGGAAGUAAAUACAAAUUAUUGGAAAUUUUACUACCAGAAUCUUAUAAACGAGAACUUAUGGAAAUUUCUAACGGAAUAUUAUAGGCACAUUCACUCAAAUGCAAUCACAACGGCCCAUCGGAAAAUCCUCGUAUGGCUCUGUAAUAAUCCUACACCAGUAUCUUUUAGGAGGCAAGCAUUUUUCCCCUAGACAAUCUGCAUUGCGUCGACAUGGCACAUAUGCUGUGAUAAAAAAAAAUAGAAUAAAAAUAUGUAACUAAAAUGAGAAAAAAUAUUAUGUAGGAAGGAACAAAUAAAAUUUGAGUAAAAUAGAAAAUGUAUUACCAUCAACGUUCAUUGCAACAAUAAAUACUGAAAGCAAAAUAAUUAUAAGAUUAAACUUGACAAUUUCAGUCAUAUUUUCUCCACUUUCGAUGUAAGAGAUAGAAUAUGUUUUUAUCAAUUUAUGAUUUAUGAAACUUAUUGUUUGCCUUACGUACAUUAAAUAGUUUUCAUAUCUGAUGAAGAUGUUAACAACCUUUCUAAAAUUAUAAUCAUUACUAAAUAUCUUUUAAGUAAAUCAAUGUGAUAUGUUUGUCCCUUUAGCCUACAUAGUAAAGUGGUUACAUAAAAACUUACAAUUAAAUCUUUUUAAGUACAUCAAAGGGUCAUGUUUUUAAUUAAAAACUUACAAUCAUAAUAAUAUAGUAACAUAAAAGCUUAUAAUUAAAUCUCUCUUAAGGACAUCAAAAUGUCAUGUUUGUCUUUUAAACACCAUCAGUAAGGAGGUGACAUAAUUUUUUUUUAACUAUCCUCAAAAUUCAUUCUAAUUUUAUAAAUUUCCUUUAUUCUAUAACCUAGAAAAUGGAACUUAUGACUUGACCAAAACAAAAAAAAUGUGGAACUUACUAAUGAGGUAAAUUUUUGUUAGAUUUGAUGUGAUUAUUAGGCUACAUAAGUUAAUGUUAUCAUUGAUAUAAACAAUAUCAAUUUCUCUGGUACUAGUAUGGAUACUUGUACCAAUAAUUGGCUAAAAUUUGACAUACUUAAAUUAUGGUUGAUCUUAACCUAAAGCGAUUAUGCAACUCAAUAUAUGCUCCCCCUACAGUCACAACAUUAUGAUGAGUUGUUUUGUUUUUUUUUUUUUGGAUAUUAUUUGUUUAAAAAAUAUUUAAUCUCAAAUUUUAGUUUUUGGAUGCCAUUUAUUUUGACGCUAAUUUUUUAUGUAGCAUCUAUUAUUUUAAAUUACAUCACUUUUGAUCUUUGGUGGGAUUUAAUAUAUUAUGAGUAGGCGGCAUAGGAUGGGGUAUCUGUCUGUCAGACACAACUUGAUGUCUCACCUAUCUCUUUGCCUAUAAAAAAUAAAAUCUUUCGUAGGAUUUCACAGUGGAAAAUUGUCGAUGUUACUUAUUAGACAUUUUAACUGAAGAUGUAGUGUUAAUCUAACUUAUAAGAUUGCUCUUAGUCUAUUAUGAUGAUACAACUUAGUGUAUGCUCCCUUUUUAAGCCCACCAUUAUGAUGAAUUGUUUUGUUAGUACUUGGAUAUCAUUUUUCUAAUUUUUUUAUUGUAAAAUUUAGUUUUUUAAUGUCAUUCGCUUUCAUGAUAUUUUUUUAUUCAACCUCAAUUAUUACAAAUUCCUUUACGUUUGGCCUUUGGUUGGAUGUAAAAAUGCAAAAUAGCAGUCAAUAAAUUACACACUUAUUAUUAGUUAUUUUAAAAUGAUGUGAUUUUUUUUUAAUUAAGUCUUAUUUGUUGAUAAAAUAAUUACCCAAAAAUCGUCAACUUCAAAAAAUUUAUAUAACUGCGGGAACAUUCAGACAAAUACAUUCACAUUCACAUAUCGCACCAUUCACAUAUAACUGCGGGAACAUUCAGACAAAUACAUUCACAUUCACAUAUCCACAUUCACGUGAAAAGUUAUUUUGACAAUUAAAAAGUUUUCUAACACCAUAUUUUAAUACAUUUAUUAAUGUAAUAGUAUUUUUUUCUUGAUAUAAUCAAAUUUAUUAUUUAAAAUCUUUAAAGAGUAUCUUUAAGACACACGUUAGAGUGCAUUUUUAUAAUAGAGUGUAUUUUUAUAGUGUUGAUGUACUUAAAGAGAAAUUUAAUUAUAAGUUUUUAUAUAACCACUUUACUAUGUAGGCUAAAGGGACAAUAACAACACAUUGAUUUACUUAAGAGACAUUUAGUAAUGAUUUUAAUUAGAACAAAAUUCAAAUGCAUGUGUAAGCAUAGGGCAAAGUCAAAAAUCAAGGGAUCACCAACUUAAGUUUCAAGUUAGAGUCUUAGGCUCUCUAAGUCACAAAUUCUCAACAAAAAUGGGCACUCACCUCACAAAAUCACUCAUUGUAGAAGAAUGUAAUUGAGUCUCACUAAAUUGUUUAUCAGCGAAUAAGUCCUGCUAUAGGGUUGACAAUAAACCUACUUUUCUACUAUUUCUCUUGUGGAAGCAAACAUGAAUAAAAAAAGCACUCUUUAAAGUGCUUCAUUUUCAUUAUACAUGCUUCACAAGAAAAUAGCUUCAAAAAGGUUACAAGUAAAAUUCUAGAGGAACANNNNNNNNNNNNNNNNNNNNNNNNNNNNNNNNNNNNNNNNNNNNNNNNNNNNNNNNNNNNNNNNNNNNNNNNNNNNNNNNNNNNNNNNNNNNNNNNNNNNAACCUCGUAGGUUAUUCUGCAGGAAAGAACUAAAUAAAAUAAAAACAUGAUGUCAUAUGGUUGGAGUCGUUGAACUAGGGUGUUUUUGUGUUUUUAUUUUCGUUUUAAAACAAGUUCGUUAUUUAAAAAAGAAGAGGAAUUUUUUUUUUUUUUUAUUUUAUAAAAUAGGAUAGGAGUUCUAUAACUUUUUAUAAAAUUUGAUAUGACUUCUAUAACACAAAUAUAUUAUUCUGUGGAAGAUAUGAGGAAAUCUGCAAGUAAAUGGAUAUCUUGUAAAAAAGAAAGAGUAUCGAAAAACAUCAAUAAACUAUUUUUAGUUUUUAAAAGAUAAAAAACUGAAUAAUUUACCUCAAAAAAACUGAAUAAUUUAUUAAACUGUUCCUUAUGAAAUUGUUUAUCAAAAUAGAAAACCAAAAUACAACCAAACAUUCAUAAAAUAAAAGAAAAAAAAUGGGCAUCAAACUUGGAUGCUCGUGGAACUCGUUUGGUUUUUUUGGUUGUUUAAUUUAUUUAUUUUUUAUUAAGUAAAGUUACACUUAAGAUCCAUUUAUAAAGAGAUUCAAAAUUUGUAUCUUAAUUUUAGAAGACUAAGCUUUUAUUAGUCGGGUAGUUUGAUUUGAUAAAGACGAAUAUUCGAUGGGGGAAAUUCUUUAGAGUUUUACUUUUUCCACCAUAUACUUUUCCUCGCGCACCCUAUUAUUUUUCACUUUUAUAUCUGGUCCGGAUUUAGUUUUCUGAAAUGCAUUGUUAGAUUUGGUCGAAUUUUAAAAUCCGGAACAAUCAUUUUCCAUCAUUUUUUUUCAUUUUAAUCUUUCAAAUUCGUAAAGUAACUGCAAAUAUGAAUAUAAAACAGAAAUAAAGAGAACACAAAGGUAAAAGGAAGUUAUUUUAUUAAUAUUUUAUUAAUAUAUGAAUAAUACAUUACAGAAUACAGAUGUUGAAGCUUUUUACAUAAGAACCUAAAACUAUUUCUAAUCUUAUUACACAAGAGCCUAAAACUAUUUCUAGGGGAUAAGCUAUACCAGUGGCUUCGACUGAUAGGACAUACCAGUACCUCCACCGUUGGAGGGGAAACAGAGGGGGCACAGGGGCCUCUGGGGAGCAAGAGACCAUGAUGGUCAAACUUACGCCCAGACAGACCAACCUCACACCCAGACUGACCCCUUCCAUAUUGACCAAUCAUAUGAUUCCUGAUGGAUUUCCAAAGAGACCUCUUUCUAUGAAAGGCCAACGAUAGAAGAGGAGAAUCGGAGAAAGAAGAAGGUGUGAGAAAUUGUGAGGAAAUAAGCCUAUUUAUAGGGAGGGACGGUUAAAAGAAAGGUGUGAAAGCCAUUAAUGCAGUCAAAAAACGUGUAAAAACACGUUUUUUGAUUUUACACCGUCCAAAAACAUUUUAAAAAUGUUUUGUUUGUGGUGCAAACCACCAGCCAAAAUGGUCUGGUGUAGUCCGGAUUAUAUAAUCCAGAAAAAUAUGAUACUGGUUAAUCAAAGGGAAACUUUGAACUUUGUGUAUGGUGAGGGUUGGUUCGGAUUUUAGAAUCUGGAUUGCUUCAACAUUGGAUUCUUUUAUGUGUCCCACAUUCCACCGACAAUUUUUAUGAUCCAUAACACCCACAUACCUCUAUAAAUAGGGGUCCUUGUUUUCAUUACACGUAAAUUAUACCAGGAAAAAAAAAUCAUGGAAUUCCCUGGCUUUGACCCGAACACCAAGCUAGUGGGAGUCUACUACAACGGUGAAACACCACCCCAUCUGUUUAGGAUUUGCAACGAUGUCACCCUCUCAGGGCUGAAGGGUGAGCUGGAUCAAAUCAAUCGUCAAAUCAACCACAGAGACACGAGGAGGGUGGUCGGUGUUGAAUAUCGAUCUCCAUUGACCGAAUCAUCCGGAUCUCUUCGCUUCAGCAGGAUGAAACUCACAAACGACGAUGACGUGAGAACCAUGUUCUCUGUCUUGGUCAGCACAGUACUAGAGGACCGACCGAGUUGGACGCUUCGUUGGUUAGAUAUGUUGAACAAAUUCUGAAAAUUUUGCAACGGCCCAGGCACUACGAAGAUAUCAGGGCUCUGCUGAAGGGACCAGAGGAAGAAGUUAGUUUAGAUGAUCUGUGAUAAUGUGCUAUGUUUUAAUUAAUUGCGUGUUUUAUGUUGUUUUGAUUGCGUGUUAGUUACGUAUUGUUGAAUUAAGUUGUUGCAUUAUGUUUUGAAUAAUACAUACAUAUAUAUAUAUUAUUUAAACUUUCAUUAUAUUUUAAUUUACGUCAAAGAUGUUCAUUUAAUCGAUAAAAUAACCAAAGAAAGACACACAAUUUCAUAGCGCAUGCGUCCGGAUUUUAUUUUCUGAAAACACUAACAAUCUGGUUCGAAAAACGAAAUUCGAACCAAGGGUAUUAUUGGAAUUUCUGCAUGGCGUGCGAGAAGGCAGCAAAGUGGGAAAAGUAUAACUCAAUUCAUUAUGUGUAAGCUCUCAAAUUUUAUUUUUUUGUAAAUACUCUCAACUCUCAUGAAGGUGGGCCAUAGAAGCAUGCUCGUCUUUGGGGUGCAAACAACUCAACCAAGUUAGGCCACUAAAAUUUAAGGGUCUAAAAAAAUUUAUAACUCAACAUCCACCCUUCACUCAAAGAAAAAAAUGAAUAUUCCUACUUUAUUCUUUCUCUGGUAGACAUAUUUUCAACAAAAAUAGAAUUUGUUUUGUUAUGAAAAUUGUCUCAAUUUCUAGAUAAUAAAUAUCACUGAUAUUUUUAAUAUUAGUGAGACAAGUUAUAAAGAACAAACGGUCCAAAAAUAUAUUACCAAUUUCUUCGAUAGUAAUUUUUUUUUCACAUUAUUAUGAACAACCAAUUUUUUUUGAAUGAGAGGGUGUAUAUAAUUUUUUUUUUGCUAUACAGAGUUAUAUAUAAUAAAUCUCAUCAAAAAGGGCCAAAAACAUUUACAGACUUCAACCCAAUCCUUUAUCGUUUUAAUGCUUGGGAUCUUUCGAUGGACUUUGCUAUAUAUAACCCCAUAAAUCAAUUAUGUCAAUAUAGACUUCCCUCUUUAAAAAAAAUUAAGCCCCCUACCAACAUAGGCCCUAGGCCGUCGCACCCCUUAUCUAUGCCUAGGGCGUAGGGUUGUGAAUAGGCGAGGCCGGCCUACAGGGGCCUACGGCCUGGCCUGUUUUGGCUUGGCCUGGCCUGGACUGUUUAGUAGAUAGGCCUAGGCUUAGACUUUUUAGAAAGCCUGUUUAGUUAAACAGGCCAAACUUAGGCUUCAAAAAAAGACUGUUAAGCCUAAUAGGCCGGCCUAUUAAUACUUAUUUAUUAAAAAAUAUUUUUUUCUAUUAAAAUAAUUGCAUAUAUUAAAAAUAUAAACAUCUUUUUCUCUAUCUAUUAGUCCCUUAAUAGACUUUGUUGUUAUAGACUUUUAUGUAGGCUUUAAUCUAGUUGAAAUUUACUUUGUAGUGAAAUAAGCUUUUAAGUAGGCUUUAAGACAUAUUUAACCUAUUUAGUAGGCCAAAUGAACUAUUUGAUGACCUUAAUGUGAAGUAGGCCUGUAAGUAGGCUUUCAAGCCAGUCCAGGCUUUUAAAUAGGUCAGGCCAGGCCUAGAAAAACGGCCUAUGAUAGGCCAUAGGCCAGACUCAGGCUUAUGAUUUAUUUCGUAGGCCAGGCUCAGGCCUAUCAAAAUCUGGCCUGGCCUGACCUGACCUAUUCCCACCCCUACUAGAGCGGACCUGAGUGUAAUUUAGGGAGACCAUCAACUGACUCUACUAUAUACAUUUGUGCUUGUCUACACCCACUAUAUUAAGAAAUUUUUUACGAUGUAUGGAUGAACCAAUCAAGCAAUCAAACAUAACUUUUUAGUGAAAAUUAAAUAAAUGUUCUAUGUUUUUAAUUACUAAUUAAUUGAAAUUUCAGUUUAUAAUCGCUAAUUUUAUUGAAUGUUGAAAAAUCUGGUGGAUAUCACUUUUUUGUGUUGAUAAAUAUAUUAGAAUAUGGAUCUUUUUGUAUUAGUUACAAUGAUGGCUAUUUUUUAUGCUUACCAAGGCUGGCCUGCGACGGUCUAGGCGGGGGUGUAUAUAGUAAGGAUUAUUUUAAUGGGGGUGUAUAUAGUAAAAAGUAUAAAAAGGGCCCAACAAACUUAAGCCCAUAAGCUCUUCUUUGCAAUACUAUUUCAAAAGGCCUCAAACCCUAAUAGAUUUAAGCCCAACUGGUCUUCAACUUUUUUUUAGAAUUUCUUUUCUCACCAUACUCAUUUUUUAAGCGCCUUCAAAUUGAUCAUCUUUUUCGUUGGGAUUUUAUAAUUCGAAGCUUAUUUGUUGUUUUUCGGUUUUUAUAAUCUAAAUUGUGAUUAACUAGUUUUUUCAAAACGGUGACAUAAACUAUUAAAAUAAUAUAAAUGAAAAUGACAAUUUAUGAAGAAUUGAACAUAUUAUAUUUUAUUAUUUGAUCAAGAAUUCAUAAUAAAUUCAAAUUAGCAUAAUAUUUAUUGCACCAAAUUAUUUAAUCAAGUAUUCAUAAGAAUAAAAAAAAUUAUUGUUGUUUAUAUGACAAUUACUUUUGCGGAAAAUAGAUUUGAGGAAUCGAAGAUGUUUGAAAUGAUUUUACAUCUCAAAAUGCUCGAAGAAACUGCAAUCUUAUGACUUCCCGAUAAAAGUGAAGUUUUUUUGUUUUUUGAUAUUUUGUAGAACAAUUGUGGAUUCUCAAUGGUGAUCUAUAUAUCAUAGUUUUAUUAAGGCUGGUUUUAUUUUUAGAUAUGUUUGAUAUGUCUACGUAUGGUUAUACAAAGGAUGAGGUGCAUUUAGCAUAGUUAGAAUUUCAAAACAUAGUAUUAUGGUAACUUGGGGUGUCAACAUUGUUAAGAAGUCAACCAACAUAAUUAAUGUGUGUCCCCCAUUCAUCAUUUAUCAGAAGAAAAAAAAUUGUGAAGUACUCAUUCCGUUUUAAAUAUAAGUAAAAUUGACUUUUUAGGUUCAUUCAUUUAAUGAUGUAUGUGGUCCAUAUUAUAAACCACAUACAUCAUUAAAUGAAUGAGCCUAAAAAAGUCAAUUUUGCUUAUAUUUAAAGACCCUGAUUUGCGGAUGUUAUUUUCAAUUUAAAUUGAAGAUUGCUCUUUUAAAAAAAUGUCGUUUUUAUUUUAUUAGGGAUCUAUUUUUAAUUUAAGAGACGAGCCUCCAAUUUUAUAGAGACGACCCUGCAUAGAAGCAGCGAAUGAUCCAUUGUCUUUCCCUUUUUGGAGAUUGCUCUAUGUGCAUUGUAGAUUCUCAACCUCUAAAAUAAAUCGAUUAGAAGUUACAUUUCAAUGUAGAAAAUGGGGAUUGGAUUGUAUCUUCUAAUAUAUUUUGUGCGACCAGAAAUUACAAUCCGAUAAAUCAAGAGAAUUUUUUGCAAACUAAGAGGCACAUAGAGAAAUCAUAUUCCUUAGGCCCAGAAUAGCAUGUUUGGACAUUGUGUCUGUCCAUGGUUAUAGAAAAAAGAGACAAAGGCCAGAAGGCAAUAAAUUCAAUGCAGUAAUAUUUGCUUGAGAUGUGUGUUUAACUUUUUUUUUUUUUGAGAGCAAGUGUGUUUAACUUUUUAAAAAUUUAAAAAUUGUUAUUUCUAAUAAAUAAAAUAACUUAAGGUUUUCUUAGGUACUUGUUAUAUUUUUUUAGACUAAAGGUACUUGUUAUAUUUUAUAUUAUAGAAAGGAGAUUAAUUUUAUUUUGUGAGAAAGAUUUACUUCUUUAGUAUUUAAAAUUGGCUACAAUUUCUUCACAUAAAAUAACACAUGUCUUUUCUAAUUUAAAUAGAGUAUCUUAUCUCAAGUUUGAAUCUAGAUAUGAUAAUACACCAACAUUGAAACUCUUGGGAAAAAUAUCAUAAAGCCCCUCAAUGGUUUGUAGCUUGAGCGAAAAUAGAAAACUUACUAAAUAUGUGGGGAUGAUUCAAAGACAAUGACAGUGUGCUUGGGCUAUCUCAAGCCACAGGUGAUGAGGUCUGAUGGUGUAAACCAACAGUAAAAAGAUUCAAGUGUAGCAUUGAUGCAGCUGUUUAGGUCCGACCGACAAUCAUUUAGAAGGUGGCGUCCGACCCGCUAUCAUUUUUAAAUUGAGUAUAGGUGAGACAUAAAGUAAUGAUUUGAGCUCUAUCUUAAGCGAAUUUUAGCUUUCUUUAAUGCGUUAAUCUUUUUUUUUUUUUUUGUCAAAUCGUUUACUGACUUAAACGAGUUCACCAGUUUAAAAUUGAACUAUGUAGAGUUCAAUAUAGUUAUCAAAUAAAUACCAAUAAUUUUUAUUUUUUUUUAAAAAAAAAGGCAAAAAGAACUAGCAUAUCAUAUAAAAAAUAAAGCAUGACAUACAUGUAGGGGAACUUGAAUUAAACUUGAGUUUUACAUAUCAUAGUAUUUUAAUAUAGCAUGCAAAAAUUAAAAUAUUGAUUUCUGUAUUUUUAUAUAAUAAAAAUUUGGAGGUAGCUAGGUUCACCUUAUAAUUUAAAUAGUUAGCUGUGGCGUAUAUUGGCAAUUUGCAAAGCACAUGGUAUUCUCCAUGAUAAGUUAUUUGUUCAUUUAAAGCUCAUUGACCAUUUCCUCAAUUAAGGUCUCAACUUCUUGUCCUAUUCUUUCUCCAAACAUUCAUGUGCUCACAUGUGUCCCCAUGUUUCACAUCUAAUUCUCUCUCUUAUAAGGGAACAAUUUGACUAAAUAUUUAUAUAACAUAGAUAUACUUUCAGUUAUUACGGUUAUGGUAGUUGCAUUUGUAUCCAUAGACUGCCAACAUAUUUUAUAAGAUGUAUUUUAUUUCAAUUAUAUGUUAGUGGCUUUGGAAGGUCCUUUUAUAAUGGCCACUUGAAUUACAUGACUUAUUUUAAUAUACACUGAGAAGCAGACAAGGAUUGGUUUCAAUAACUACAUUCUGCACAUUGUAACUUCUAAUUGCGUGGAUGAUCAAACGUUGAUCCAUAUCUACAUUCAUCGAACUAACGGCUUUACUCUAGAAUCCACACAUUUAGAAAUCAUUUUUUAACCAAGUAGCUUGGACUCCAGUGGCAAGGAGCUCCUUUCAAUGACGUUUCCGGGAAAUAUCGGAUUCGAUUUUCGGGGGAACAAUGUUUGACCAGUGCGCAUGCCUCCACGCAUGAGCUGGAUUAGUCGUCCAUUGCUGAUGGGUCGGAAACCGGUGCGAAAGCCAGAAGAAGAAAAAAAAUCAUUUUUUUAGGGAAUUUAGAAAUCAUAUUUGAAGAAAUUGUUUCUGUUCUUUUUUUAGUAAAAAAUUCCAACAAUCAGUGUUAUUAACUUUGUAUUUAUCAAUUAUGUGUAGGGUAGGGAUAAUGGAUUUGAUAUUAUUUGAAUUUGAAUUUUUGACCUCAAUUUCAUAAUCAUUCUUAACCGUUUUAGUUUAAUUUAUUUGAUUAGUCGGGAUUAUCAGGUUCAUUGGGUCGAUUUGAUGAAACCUUUAUAUAAAAGAGAUGUUGAUAUUCUCAAUAUAUAUAUCCUUGACCCAAGAGAAUAUAUACGAGUGGGUAAUUUGUUAAUGGUUUUAAAUUUUUUAAAUGUAUUAUUUGAUGACUCAUUGUACGAAAUUAAUUAAUAUUGUUCAUGUAUUAUGUAUAUAAUAAUCUUCGGCAAUCAUUCAAUAUAUCUUUCCCCUAAAAAAAUAAUAUAUUUCAUGAAAAAACAUAAUUGAUAACAGUCACUCAUGUAUCCCCUAAAAAAACAGUUACUCAUGUAUGAUUUUAUUUUGGAAAUUUGAAAAUUUUCCUUUGAUGUAUAACGAAAAAAAAAUUAUUUGAGGGGAAUAUAAGGAACUUUUUUUUAGGGUAAUUUCAGAAUAGAAGGAAAACAUUAAUUUUUUAUGGCUUAAUCCCACUAAGAGAGACUUUUUUUUUUUUUUUUUUGAGCAACCCACUUAAAGAGACUAUCUGACUACUCAAUGUGAAACAUGGUUGCAUUCACAUCCUUCUAAGAAUCGACAUCCACGACAACUUUUAUUCUCUCUUUCAUACUCACAUUAUGUUUUUAUUCUUUGUCUUCAUUUUUCUCUCUUCAUUGUUUUUAACCAAUUGAAAGAGAGGAAAAAAAAGUUGUCAUGAUAGUUGUCAAAAAUAGUUGUUCAAAUAUCACUACUCUUUCUCUUAUGUGAUUUCUUAAUCAAGCCUAUAAUAUUUUCAUACCCAAAUACUCAUUGAAAGCAACGAUUAGUAUGAUUUCUUAUGCAUGUGAGAGGUGCUCAAGGAAAAAAGACUAGUCAUGUUCGGGAUACCAAUUUUUUCUUAAGAUAUAUAUUUUUUUAAAUUCGGUAUUCAACCUGAGCACCAACUAAUAUAAGGGGUUCAAUCUUUCCGUCUAUUUGUUGGAGGCUAUUUUAAAGUUAGAGCAAACUUCUGUGUGGACUAUCACAACAUAAUUGACACCAGCGAAAAUCAAACUUAAGAUCUUAAAAGGAGCACAUUUCAAGAUCUCAAGUCAACACCACAAAACCAACCCAAGUGAGUUUCUUAAGAUAGUUAGUUGCUCCAAAACCAAUCCAAAUUGCACCAGAAUUAGUCAUGGUUCAAUACUUAUAAAUAUUUUGGGGAUGCCAAUUUUUUUUUCUUCAUAGUAUUUAAGGAUGUGAAUAGGUCAGGCUGGCCGACAGGGGAUUACGGCCCAACCUACGAUAGGUCCGGUCAUGCCGUUUUUUUUUUUCUUCUUAAAUAGAGAAGAUCUAGACUUUCUUAGAAGCUUAUUUGACUUAAAAGAUCAAACCACAAACCAUGAAAAAAGCAUAUUAGUCCUAUUAGGCCGGCUACUUAAGUAAAUAUGAAUGAUAAUAUUUUUUAUUAUAUUAUAUUUUAUACUUUGAAUUAAAUUUUAAAUUUGUAAACCUUUUCAAUAAUUUAAAGUUGUUAGUAUACAUUAUUUUUUCGCAUAUUUAAAUGUACUAUUAUAAACUAGAACUAUAAUAUGAUAUAAUAUAUAGUUACGUUUUCUAAAAAUUUCAUGUUGAAUAUCAAAAGUGAGUUUAAUUUUAUUCAUAUAUUAGUUCGUUAGUCCAUUUAAAUUAAUAUCACAUUACUUAUUUAAAGAUGUUCAUAUAAAAUAGUUUUUUAAACAGUUUAGCAGACCACAUUAGACUUUCAGAAAGUCAGACUCAUGCUUAAAAAGUAAGUCUAUGACACACAGUAGACCAGACUCUGAUCUUAAAAUUUUGGACACGCUAGACUUAGACAUUGCAAAGUCUAACUCGGUCUAACAUAUUCACACCCCUAACUGUAACACUCCAUACUCAUUUAUGCUUUCAGGAUUGUUAAUUAACUUCACAAAUCAACAAAAGUAUUUUUAAUUUGUUUUNNNNNNNNNNNNNNNNNNNNNNNNNNNNNNNNNNNNNNNNNNNNNNNNNNNNNNNNNNNNNNNNNNNNNNNNNNNNNNNNNNNNNNNNNNNNNNNNNNNNUCAAAGCAUAAAGUUUUAUUAAACAAUAGGAAGUAGUACUUGUUUGGUUUCCCUGGUUUUUUGCUUUAGUAAUAUUAAGAUGGUCUAUGACAUGUUUGUUUUUUGAUCAAAACUCACUAAAUUUAGAAGAAUUUCUUUAGUUCUCGUUUGUUUGUCGUUUUUUAAAAUUCAAGACUGUGUUAAUUAUCACUUUUAGGACUGUUCGUGGUUUGGUUCGGUAAGAAAAUCGUACUGAACUGGAAAAAAACAGUUCUUUUUUAACAGACUGAACCAAUUGUUUUUAUAGUUACAGAAUCAAACUACUUAAGCAUGAUGAACCGAACCAAACUAUCUACAAACUGUCGGAUGUUUCUUUACGGGAGUUUACUCCAAGUUUGUUGUAAACAAGUUCGGGGAUUUUAAGGCUAAUUCUUGACUGUUAACCUUGCAGCUCAAACUAUGGUAAACUAAAACUUUCUUCCUUUCCAAUUGACGCAUAUAAUAGAUAAAUGAGGGAUCAAUAUAAUGAUCAUGUAGAACAAUAAUAAGCAAUGACUCAAAGGGAAUGUAGCAAUAAUAUUUCAACCAUUGUGCAUUGUUGUCUUCCAAUGUAAAACCACACAAAUGAUUGUGUAAUGGUCAGUGCAAGCUAAAUAAUUAUACAAUAAGUCAUAAAAAUGGUCAUCAUAGUCAUUACAAACACCAUUUUAGAAGUUAUAAAAGCACACUUGAUAAAAAUGUUUUAUAAAUAAACAAGUUCCAUCUUAGAAGUUUCAAGUUAACAUCAGUACUAUUGUAUUGCAGUUUGGUUCAUUCCUUCCUAACAACGUGCACCCUUAAAAUUCUGAUUGUUCCAUCUUCACGCAGCACAAUCUCGCAUAAGCAACUAUCAUUUUCUGUGAUCUUGCUCUUUCUACAAAAAUCUUCCCACCCUAGCACACGUACUCGACCAUCUCUCCAUGUACGUACUUGGCCUCUCUUUUCGAUAUGUAUUGUGCUGAUUUGUGGCAAGAUGUGAUGAUAGGCUGCUAAGUCAUUGCUCUGAAUGUCCUAUCAUAACCAAAAAAGGAUGAAUGCAACUGAAAUAUCAAAUUAUCAACACAUUAAACAAAAAUGACAUCAGUUCAUAAAUGUGAAAAAUAAAAGCUAAUGAUUAGAAUUAUACCUUACAGUGGCAACAUUCAAGGGUGACAUGUUUUGUGAAGCAGAGGCAGAAAUCCUUGAUAACAUUCUUUGGAAUAAACUUCAAAUGUGAAGCGUGAUUGCAUAAUAAGUACAUCAAAGAAGUAACAUGAAAUGAUCGUAAGUUAAGAAAACUAAAAUUGCAACAACUUGGACAUAAAGGUAAUAAAGAGAAUAACUAGACAGGCAUAGAGUACAAAGGAAAAUUGAUAAGAAAUGACAAGUCGAAGGUGAAAAUUUCGACUAACUCCUCUACCUAGGGUUAAGCAAAUGGACUAAUCACUCGUUUAACUAUGCUUCCAUGUCAAAAAAAAAGUAAUGGACAUAAAGAAUUUUACCAAUUCAUUAGGUCUGGAAUGAAUAUAUUUUGCAAUAAAGUGAGGAUUUCCCGGUUGAAUAUAUAUUUCAGCAUCAAUUUCGUCAUCUUCAAGUUUUGAUCGUGCAGAGCUGCUCCCAAUGUUCCCUAAACCAAAAUAAAUCAUCAGAUAAGUUCUGACUCAUGCAUGCACAAACUGAUAUAGAAUGAUGUCAAAACUUACCAGCUUUGCACUUGCAGCAGGUUCUACAAUGUUGAUGUUUACUUCUACUAAUUUCCUUAUACAUUCUUUCAUUCUCGUCGUCGUCAUCACCAUCAUCAUCGGCAGCAGCAGCAGCAUCAUAUUCAUAAUCAUCAUCCUCAUCAUCGUCAUCACCAUCAUUUACCUCUUCCUCAUCCUCCAUAUUGUUAUUUUCCUCCACGACACUUACCUUCUUCUUUUCACACAUCGAUGAUAGUUCAAGAAUUUUGAACCUGAAUACGGUAUUUUCAAUAUGUGUAAAAACAAGGAAAUCAUCCUCCUCUAAAGAAUUUUCCUCUCUAAAUUGCUUCCAGCCACCGUCAAAAUAAAGCUCAUCGCCAAUAAGACGAGCUUUGACAUGCCAAUCUCUUCCUCUACGAUCUCUUAGGAUAAAAUCCUUUAUUACCUUCCUUUUUGAACGCAUCAAGUUCACAAAAGCAUUUGGGAUACGCUGCAAUAGAUUUAAAAAAAUAAAAAUUAGUAGUUAAUAACUACUACAUCACAAGUUAUUUUCAAUACACUUAAUAAACUCUGAGGAGAUCACUUAAGGAAGAAAAAACAUCAGAGGAAGCAAGCACGUACCAUUCUUUCAGUGUGCUUCUCUGUGGAAAAAACCUUGAAGAAAUCUGGGUAAUCCUUGGCCAUCUUAGUUACAACUUGGAUAUCUGAAAAUGCCAAUUAUAUUCAAAUUAUAGCACCCCUUGAAAAUUCAAGACUUUUCUUGAUAUUCAAAACCAACAAGUUUUUAAAUAAAUUUCUCAAGGAAAUUCAAUAUCCUACAUUUAUUUGACUAUAAGGUUGUCAUAGAUAUGAUAAACCUUUUUAAAUCACCUAAAAAAAAAACCUAUAUAAAUUAUCAAAUCACAAAAAAUAUUUCAAAAGAGAACAAAAAAAAGAAAGAAAGGGAAUUUUGGGAGUUACCUGCAAGUUCAAGAAAAGAGAGAGAUGAGAGUUUCUUGGCUGGUUACUGAUGAAUUUGAUUUUAAAACAUUAUUCAUUUUUCUUCCUUAAUUAAUUGCUAGUUUCCUUCAAAGAAUAAGGGUUGGUAAUAGUCCAUUUAUAUUUCUACAUAUGACAUUCAGUCAAUAUCAUUUUUCCACAUUUCUGUCAUUAUUAUUUUGCUGUUUAUGGAAACUCAUUCUGUGUGUGAGAUAUAGUGAUGAUCAUGCAUGUGCAACUUUGUGGUCCUUCAGAAAGAUUUGUAAUAUUAUAAUUAAUUAUGGUCCAUAACUCAAUUUGAUUCAUUUUGAAAGUGUUGAUUAUUGCUUGAUUAAUUUGGGAAGGGAAGGACUAAGGAGACUUUAUCCUUGCAAACCUAUUCCAAUAGUUUAAUUCUUUUUACAAAUAUCUCACUUUUUUACUUCAUUUAUUUAUUUAAGCUUAUUUAUUUAUGCUUUGUUACAUCAUUUCUUCUGUCUUUAAGAUCAUCAAAUAACUUUUACAAAUGUAAUUAUAUUUACCUCCCUCUAAUGGCAACUAGGGUUGUGCAAGGGAACCAUAUCACUUAAACCAAUCCAUUUAAAUGGUUCUGGUUUGCUAACCAAACCAUUUUUUUCAAAGUGGUUACAAACCGGUUCGGUCCGGAUUUGGAUUUAAAAAACGGUUUACAAACAGAUGGCUGCUAUAUCCAGUUUUCUCUUAAACUCAUUCUAAAAUUGGUUUUCAUUAAACUGUAAACUGGUACUACACCUAUUUUUUUUUUUUAAACUAAUUGAAACUAACGUAAAGUCAAACGUAAAAAAAAAAAAAAAAAAAAAAAAAAAAGGAGAGUUUAUUAGUAAUUCUAUAAAAUUAAAAUAAAAAAAUGAAUAAAAGUAGAAGAAAUUUGGAAUUCAAGAGAAACAGAAAUUCUAUCCCAAGUAAAAGGUUUGCAGUCAUGUGCAUACAUAAACACAUCUCCACCAUGCUUAUCUUCUAUUAUUUGAUUUUAUGGAAAGAAUAUUAGUAAAUAAAUUCUGAGAAGGAGGGAUUUUAUGAGGAAAGCCUCAGUUAUUCUUCUGUGUGGUUAACUUCAUGUCUUAAACCGGUUCUAAUAAGUGGAUACAGAUUUUAUUAGUUUUUCUAAAAAUGGACUGGUUUAGUUUUUUAAUAAAUGAAUUUGGUUUUUUUGACACAGUUCCAGUUUGGUUCUAACUCAGUUCAAGUAAUCUAGAUUUUUUGCACACCCCUGAUAGCAACAAUGGAGCUUGAACUUGAAAUCCCUUUCAUUCUGUCUUUUUACCACUUAAUCAAAUGCUUGGAGUUUAACGAUAAUUGAUAUCUACAUUUGAUUUGGUAAUCGAUAAUUGAUAUUAUUCAUUAUACACUUCAUCAAAAACUUGAGAUAUCAUUUAUCAAAUUGAUACUAUUUGAUUUUCCAUCAUUGAUUUUGAUAACACACAAAAAAUGAGUUGUCAUAUAAUUUCAAUUUGUAGAUAACACACAAAACUAGAGAUUUUGAUAUUUAAAGUGAUUAAAGUAGUUGUUAUUUUAACAAACUUGUGAUUAUCUUUUUAUAAAAAUAAAAUAAAAGAUGAGUGUGAACCUGGAGUCCCGGAUCUAAAGUUUAUCUUUAGGAUCAAAGAACGUUUACAAAUGUAUUUAUAUUUAUCUCCCUAAAGGCAGAGCGGAGUUUGAACCCGAAAUCUCAUAUUCAAAAUAUGUAUUUUUACCACUUAAUCAAAUUCUUGGAGUUCAACAAUAAUUGAUAUUGUUCAUUUUCCACUUUUAUCAAAAACUUGAGAUAUCAUUCAUCAAUUUGAUACUAUUUGAUUUGCCAUCAUUCAUUUUAGGCUGUGUGAUUACUGCAUUAUCUUAAGAUUAAAAGCAUAUGUGAGCGGCAUCAAUCACUGAUAGCCUGCAUUAAAAAAAAAUGGCAAAAGUCCCCGUGAGCUUAGCUCAGUUGACAAGGACAAUGCAUAAUAUAUUCAAGGUUUGGGGCUCGAACCCAAGACACCAUAAAAAAAAAAAUGACAAAUCAUAAUGAAAGAUCACGUAUAAUUUGAUUAUAUCAAGAAGAUCCUGUUUUUUGAACCUUAAACUAUGAAUAUGAUGGUUAUUAGCCAUUGUUCUUAGCCUUUUGUUUUUUAAACCAUUUUCUUUCACAACUUUUGGAAAAUAUUAACAGUUACUUACUGAUGCACAUGCUAAGAUUUUUCUAAAUUGAAAAUGCUAAAAAUUUAUUUAUGAUCUACACAUCAAAGAUAGAUUAAAUCUUUGCUUUUGUUUUUGUAAAAUAAUAAUAUUUUAAGGUGCUUGUAUUAUGAAUGAAUUAGUAGUAAUUUUGCAAUAAAAGUACAAGAGAAUAAUAUUCAAAUGAUUAAUAGAACAAUGUUCACUCAAUUUGCACAAAACACCUAUAUUCUCAUGGGCAGCCCCCCUUCUCCAACGAACUCUCGGCCGUUGGAUUAAUUCAACGACCAAGACUUCUUAAAUAUAUAAACUAGCCACAUCAACCCCUUUGUCGUAACUCCCAAUAGAUUUUGUGCGAUCGGGAGUUACAAUCUGAUAAAUCCGAUUAGUUUUUGAGCAAUGCCAGGAGCCUAUAACACAAUUACCUAACCUCACGACUAACCAUGUCAGAUCCCCAUAACUUGGCCCAAGUGCAUCUUUGCAAAAUAGACUACUUGAACAAUCAUAACCUCUCAUGAAACAUUGUUAUAUAUGUUGAAAUUUCUAAUUAUUACUAUUUAGUGCUACUCAAGGAAUCAUUGAGCGAAGGUAUAUGAAAGCUUGUAACACUACUUAUAGAAUUUCCUACUCUCCUAGUAAUGCGCCAAUAAAUAAUGUACUCUAAGUUCAAUUAGUAAUUGCCAAAAUGUUGUUAACUUCUACUUUCCUAGUCAUCAAUAAUUUGAGUAUCGGUUACUGUUUAGAGGAAGAUGCUAAGAGGAAAACAUAUGACUGUGUCAACACAGCAUACAUGUGGACCAAUAACAGGGUACUAAUGAUUUUGUAACAUUUAAAAAGCUAUCAAACAGUAGUUGUUGUAAAUCAAAUGCAUCCUACAAUAGCAGGGAACCAAGAACAGGGUACUGAAGUAAACCCCAAAUUCUAAUGUUAACUCAUCCUGACCAUACCUAUUAUACUUCUCCACGCACUACUUUUUUUUAGUAAGAAACGAACUCAAUACACUAGGGUUUAAAACACUUGCACAAUUCGCCACACACUAUGAUACAUAUAUUCACAUAAAUUUUCACAAUCUACAGAAAAGAAACAAAACAUGAAGUAACAGAGCAACGGUGCAUGAAUUCAAGCGGUUUAGAAAACAUAAAACAUAAGAUCUGACUUAAGUUAUCUAUGGAAGGGUUACACUACAUUUCUGCUAGUGUGUUUCCAGUGGAAAACCUAAAAUAGCCAUAGAAAAAAGGGCACAGAACAAGAGAACAAACAAGGUGAAAAUUUCGUAUUGUUACUAUUGACUUGUUUUUGUUCUUGUCUUUCUCUGUCCAUCUAAUUUAGUGAUCAAUAUAAGCGUAGAACUACUUUGGUGUUUCGGGUUUACUGCAAAAAUUGAAGAUUUUAUGUGGAAUUAAACAUUUUGGUCAAAAAUAAAAGUGGAAUUAAACAUUUGACAUAUUGCAUCAAAGGCUAAGCAUUUACUGCAAAGUCACACAGACAGGACACAAAGAUGCAUACAAAAAAGUUACUCUCCAAUUCGCAUAAGUGGAUAACUAUGAAUACCUUCCGAUCCAAUGACUGAUAUGUAUGAAAACAUAGUACAAAAGAUUCUUUCGUCUGAGGAAGAACCAAUAUGAGAGAAAAUCCAUUCAGUGUUAACUAUCAAAUUAACUAUGGACCCUAAAACUGUUUGUAAAGUGAAUUCACAUAUCGAAGAACCUAAUUUCCUCACGUUGACCAAAUUAAAAAUAAAAACAAGUAUUGAUGAAAGCUACCAGAAACUUAACUCUUACAAGGGUGUUACAGUGCCUUUGGAGGAGCGAUACAUGUCAGCAAAGCUCAAGCAUAAGUGACGGUCUCUGUCAUCCCCCCAACCUCCCCAACCUUUAAACCCGGCUUUAUAACCAGGCUGAUUUUUAUAGACAUGAACAUCCCAAUCUGAAUCAAUGUUCGAAACCUUAUCAUGAUCAUCUACACGAAUGUUCGCCAUGCCGUUAUCAAUGCAAGCCUUAUUCUCCCCCUGACCCUGAUGCAAACCACAUUUCCCAAAAUGAACAGCACUAGUCCUUGGGCCUCGUAACGUGUAGACAGGACUACCAAACGACGGAUAAACAGUCGCCCACAUAGUGAUAUCCCAAUUAUAAUCAUCAAAGAAACAAAAUUCUUUAGCUUUAUUGUGUAUUUUCUUCCAAACCGUUCGAUUAAACGAGUAACCUAUGUUUCCCAUUCUCUCCGCAACUAAACUAUCCCACUCUUCACCUCUCGAGUUCACAUCAGAAGGUGCUAAAUUUGCAGCAUAACAAUCAGGACAUUUCAUAGGCUUCAACGAAGUUAGAAUCUGUAAAUUCCGAUACGCAUUGGGAAAUAUAAAGUGGUCUUCUUCAAUAAAAAGAACAUGCCCAGAAUGCGCUCUAGUCUCACUCAAUCCAUCCCAUACUGUAUUCAUCAUCCACCACCAAUGAUGCUUCAACGACACAAUCUUCGGCGCCCGAUGGUUCCCAUACUGAUCAGGAUUCCCUUCACAAUGCUUCUCUUUCGCAUCAUCUUUCUCCUUACAAUCACCAACCGAAACCCCCGGAAAACUAUUCGGAAACAAAUGAGGCGAAUACGGAGCAUAUAUCUGUUUAACUUGACAAAACCUAAUACCACUAAUGAUCUUAUUCAUUUCCUCAAAGUAACCAUCAUGACUAACAAUCAACAAAGUCUCAUUAAUCCCUACAACCUUAGCAAGACUCUCAACAACCACUUUAAGAUACUGCGGCCGGUUAUGAACAUACAAAACAACAAUGAUAGCAUCUUUACCAAUAUUUGGAUACAAAUCCAAAUUCCUUGGUGGCAACAAAUUCAACUUUUCCAAUUUUUUCGACAAAUCACUCUGCUGUGGAAGAUUUUGCAUCUUCGUAAACUUCAAAUCGCGACGAUAACCAGCACCAUCAUCAACACUUUGUGAUUCAUUAGUUUCAAUAGUUGUACUUGAAUUUGAUCCAAGUAAAAAUAUCAAUAUCAAAACCCCACAUAAAGUAAGAAACACCACAGAUAAUAAACGACGCAAAGCCAAAUCUCUAAGACGUGGUUUCUUAUAAGAAGCCAUAGUAAACACAAAGCAUAAAAAAAAAAGAGUAUAAAUUUAUAUCAAAAUUAAAUCAUAACCUUGAUGUUGAGAUUGUUUGGACCAAAACCCAGUUCUAGUUUGAAGUAAAGAUGAAAACUUUACACAAAUCAGAUGUGGAAAUCAAGGUUUUGAGAGUAAAAAGUUAGACCCAAGUGGUUUAUUGUAUGAAAAAUGGGGUGUGGAAGAAGAGGGUGUGGAUAGUGAUUUGGGAGGGUGAGAAUUGAGUUGAAGAGUAAAGAGAGGGUUUAUUUGGUAGGUAUAGGAAUCAAACGUAGUAAACACGAUAAAGAGUAAUGAAGGAAGAAAGAGAGGUUUGAAUUGUCAACAACAGUGGAGGCAGAAACAAGGAUGAUAUUCGGGUCUGGAUUGUUGGUUUGGGGAUCCGACAAGGUAUGAUACUGUAGUGUAGUGCUGGAAAAACUAGUCAAUUUUUGCUGUAUAAUCGGUUAAUUAAAUAUCUUUGAUAUUGUUUGUCUUUUCUUUCUCUCUCUUCUCUACUUCUCAAAUUCUAACCGUCAUUUUUUUUUUUUUUUGAAGAAACAAAAAUGAAUUAUAUUACCAUGAACAACGUAAUUGUUGAAGCACAAGGCGGGUGUCAUAACAAUCACAGAAAGAGCAACAUACUAUCAAAUUACAACAAAGUCAAUGGAUGCACAUACAUAAAAGCGGGCUCGACCAACAAUUAUGUGUAUCAAAAUUAAAGACCACAUUACUAGCUUUCAACCACCACAAGAUANNNNNNNNNNNNNNNNNNNNNNNNNNNNNNNNNNNNNNNNNNNNNNNNNNNNNNNNNNNNNNNNNNNNNNNNNNNNNNNNNNNNNNNNNNNNNNNNNNNNUUGUCCUAUGAAGGAUCAAUUUCAAAUCCAUUCCAAGUAUGAAGGAACAUUGUUGCAGGCAUAGCUGUUAUCCUUGUCCAAUUGACAAUUUUUAAUACCUUGGUAUCAUCAAAACUCUCAAAGGGUAAUGGUAAACAUAUUUUGUUCCAACAGAUUUGGUUUACCGGUGUGUGGGUUAUCUGGCAAGAGUGAACUGACAAGUUGUUUAAUCAUAAGGAGAAAUUGAUGCCUUAAUUGUUUGAUAAGGUUAAACAUUUGUCUUUGUGGUGACCUGAAGCGUAAAGGUGCAAAUGUUUCUCUUGAGUUUGCUAGUUGGUGGGAGCCCCCUUUGAUUGUUUGAGUGUUGGUUAAUUGUACUGGUUUAUUUUAUUUAAACUCUUAGCUUCUUCUUGGCAAACCUUAUGUCAGGGAGGUGGUUUUUCUUGGUGUUUAAUAUAUUUCAUUUUGCCUUGUUCAAAAAAAAUAAAAUUUAUAAAUAAAGUAAAUUAACUAAUUAAUAAAUUAGGAGAAUAUUCUUUUAACGAUAUCUUUCUUUUUCUUGAGCAACAAGUUUUGUGCUUCUAAUGCCAAAAAAAAUAAAAAGUAUUGAAUACCUUAUAGCAACCUUAUUAAAAUCAAAGAAAGUUGUAACAAACAAAAUGAAACCAAAAAUCAAAGAAAGAGCUUUUCUUUUUAUCAUGGGUAUGAAAGAAAGUGCUAUUCUUUAGGCUAAUAAAGCAUCCUUCAUAAUCUCUUAACAGAACCAAACAUGGCCCAUGAUGUGAUCCAAUCAUUAUUGUCAGUGUCUGCAAAUAAAAAAAAAGAGUCACAUAACUACAAUAUUAUUUGUACAUUAUGAUUUUGCCAUUGUAGACUUUAAUAUAUAUAAGAAGAUUAACACUUCUAGCAAAUUUUGUAAAUUCUUUCACAAUUAUUUGAAUUGACUUUCAUAUGAUAUAUAUUUCAUUUAUUCUCUCAUUGAUACAAUGAUUUGCUUCAAUCAAUUGGUACAAAUUGAUUAUGUUUUUUUAUACUUUCAAAACAAUUUUAUAAUUUUCACAUGAUUGAAGGAAGACAUUCUACAUUUUCAUACCCCCCAACACACUAAAGCAAAAGUGGAGAAAUACUACUUCCCAACCAAAACCUUACCAAUUAUAUUUCCAAAAAAAUUAAAAAAAAUUAAGAAAGGAAACAAAUUGUUGUAAAAAUUUGUAAUUAACACAGAUAAAAAUUCAUCACGUAGUUCUCUAUAUGAGAAAAUUGAACUUUGCAAAGAUCAAAGUCUCAUGCACGUGGGGACGGCUCUUUGAUCCCUAAUCUCAAUGCAUCAAACAAUUCCUCAUUCAGCAAUUUCAAAAUGAGUAGUGUUCAAUGGUGUACACCUACAUAUUAGCAAUUGGAAUUGAUGGUAAUCGAAAAAAAUUCUUUUGGUGGAAUACAACUUAUAUUACAAUUGCAAACCUUGCAUAGUUCCAAUGGGCAAAGAGAACAAAGUACAAUGGCGUGGUGAAGUUUUCUUUGUCAAAUAAUAUAGUGGGUAGAAAUUCACCUCAUAAUAUGAAUAAAUGGAGUGUUCGGGGUCUGAAUUCCGACCUCUGUAUGUAUUAUGUAAUGUCCCUAUCAAUUGAAAUAUCCUCAAGCGGACAAUUGUGUGAUGAAGUUAGUUAUUUAAAAUUCCAAUUGUUAUGAGUCCCACAUCGGAUAGGUGAUGGUCUGACAAUUUGUUUAAAAGUGCGGGCAAUCUUCACCUCAAAAGUGGGUUUCGUAGGGUUGUGUUAGGCCCGACCACGAUUUUUAAGAUGGUAUCAGAGCAUCUCCAAGAUCCAUUGGACUACCUGCCAUGGCCUGACAAUUUGUUUAUAAGUGGGGGCAAUCCUCACCUCAAAAUCCGGUUUUUUGGGAUUGCGUUAGACCCGACCAUGAUUUCUCAGACCAAUAAUUUAAUUUUUUGGACCGAUACAACACAUAAGGAUGUCUAACUCAAAUUUCUAGAUGAGGUUUUUUAAAGUCCAUUAAAAUUUUAUGGGUUAUGCUAACAAGCAAGUGCCCUAAACGCACUUGUUAAGAAAACCAAAAGUAGUAGUUUUACAUUAGAUUCAACAAUAUUUUGACUUUUAAAAAGUUAAAUUCAUCACUUUUUACCAUUUUUUAAUACAAUAUUUUAAUUUUUAUCCCCUUAACCAAUGCCCUAAGAGCCCUCUUUAACAUUUCCCAAAUUAUAUUAAUUUUAGUUUUAAACUCAUUUCUUAUUAAGUAAAAAAAAAAAAAAACUAGAAGCCUAAAAGGAGACUUGGUGGCCUUACCUAUAGUUUAUAUUGGUAUUAGAGUUAGGAAGUUCUUAUUUCAAUAAUAAUGUGUGAAUCUAGGAGUCUAUGUUCAAUUAUUUCCACAUGUAUAAUAGACGGUUAUCCUUGUCAUCCCUCGAUUAGGAGUUUGGGCUUGCUAGCUAGAUAAUGUUAUUAAUCACAAGUGGGUAUUUUCUCGUGUUUUUUCUUAAUUGAAUCAAAACUUGAUGCAAACUUGUUUAAGUGUUUGUAUGAAUGAAUAGGCUCCCGAGGGAAUCCCUUUUCGAAAUUAAGAAAUACUUCACCAAGUGAAGUUUUUUAGUGUGAUACUUACGACUUUGUUACUUAAUAUUGAAGUAAUUAAUAUAUUGGUCUUUGUCAAUUAUAUAUUGGAUCCUAUAUAUGGAGUAUAUAGAAGAUCUACCUUAAAUUUUUGUUCCCCCUUAGAUAUCUUUAGUCUCAUUGUUAAAUUAUGUACUAAAAAUGCAUCUGAAAAAAGAUCUAUAUCUUAUUGAAAAUGAGUUUUAGCUAACUCUUUAACACAAAACACAUACAUUUUUAUUGGUUAAAUUUUUUAUUACACCCACCAAAUUCAUGUAUGGAAUGCUAUAAUAAGUUCAACAUUACAACUUGUCAAAAAAACAAAACAUUAGAAAGAAUCCAAACGUGUAUCUUUUUUUUUUUGUUGAAAAAAAAAAUUAUACGCGUAUAACAUUUCAUGCAUAAAUGCCUUUAAUAUCAAAAGAGUUAUCUAAACAUUUGCAUCCACAAGUAAUUAGACACACUUUUUUUCAAUUGUUCUAAGGUACGAGUUCAUAAAUCCAAUUAGCAUUUGAGGCACAUGUGGUAUUGACAUUUCAUAAAGUUAAUUAAGUUAAGCAUAAACAAUUAACGUACAAUCCCAAUUAGGAUUAUCAAUUUCAUUAGCUCCAAAUAGCUAGGGGUGGCAUAUAUACAAUUUGGCCAAAUUGUCUUAGAAAUCGUGGUUUGGCUAACACAAUUUCACAAAAACGGUCUGUAAGUUAAAGAAUAUCUCACAGUUAACCCGUAAAGAAAGGGGCAAUCCCAAAAGUUGACAUAUAACUUAACUUUCGAGCUCGAUUAAGUUGUUUGUGUUUUGUUUUGUGUAAGCUAAUUGCUUUUUUGGAUGAGACGGUGGGGGGGGGGGGGGGGUUGGUGAAGGACUGCGGUUUUAGACGACAACAUUCGAAGGGUGGUAGGUUAUGGUCGUCAAACUAUGUUCUGGCAUGAUAGCUGGGUUGGGGGAAUUUCGUUGAGGAACAAAUUUCCCCGCCUAUUUGAUUCGGCCGUGAACCAGAAGUCCUCGGUGGAGGAGAUGGAGAGGUUAGGGUGGGUGGAUGGGGGAGGGGUGUGGGUGUGGAGAUGACGUCUAUUAGCAUGGGAGGAUGAGAGUGUGAGGGAGUGUUCCGCUUUAUUGCAUAACUUUGUUUUGCAGGAACGAAUUCAUGACAAGUGGAAAUGGUUGCUUGAUCUUUUUCAUGGUUACUCGGUGCGAGGCGUAUAUCACUUUUUUACUACGACAGAUGUACCUAUGGUUAGGAAUCUCGCUGAUGACAUUUGACAUAAGUAUAUUCAUUCUAAAGUUUAUUUGUUCGUGUGACGUCUCCUUCGCAAUAGAUUACCAAAUAAAGACAAUUUGGCCCGAAGGAGCCUUCUUCAAUCUAAUAAUCUUGCAUGUGUAGCAGACUGCGGUACUUCAGAAACGACACAUCACCUUUUCCUAGGCUGUGAGAUUUUUGACGGUGUUUGGCAUCAUGUGCAGAUUUGGCUAGGUAUUGACUUCAUUGCUUCUAAUAUGCUUCGACAUCAUUUUGUUCAGUUUUCUUAUAUGGAGGACAUGCCACGAUCUUCACACAUAUUCUUUAAAGUUAUCAUGCUUGCCUGUGUCUGGGUUCAUUGGAAGGAAAGAAAUAAUCAUAUCUUUAAAAAUACGGCUUCAGAUCCAUCAGUUCUCAUUGAUAAGGUUAAGCUAAAUUCAUUCUUGUGGAUGAAAUCAAAACAUGCGUCGUUCAAUUAUAGUUUUCAUGACUGGUGGAGACAUCCGUUUUUGUGCAUGGGUGUCCAUGUGUAAUUAUUACUGUUGUUUCUUGAUGAUGCCUUCGCUUUUAUGGCAUCAUUGGCAUUGUAACUUUUUGGGUGCCUUUAUCUUUGCACACCUUAUGCUCGAUGAAUCACCAUUGUUAUUAAUACAUCUCAUUUUGACUUGUUAAAAAUAAAAAAAUUAACAAAGCUACCCGUUGCUAGACAAAAAUAGAACCGACUUCACUAAUUAAUUUUUUUAGGGGUCUUUCACUAAUUAUUAUUAUUUUUAAAGAAGGGGUCUUUCACUAAUUAUUGUGUGGGGGCAUAUUUCGAGAGAGGAUACAUUUCAAAUAAUUGAAAAAAAAUAAUAUUGUUACAGUGUUUUAAAAUUACUGAAAGAACAUAACAAUAAAACACCAACCAAAAACUUAGAGAGAUAUCAUUUUUUUACUACUUUUAUAUAUUGACUUCGUAAAUUAUACUUGUAAAGCUAAAAAAAUACAAAUAUAUAUACUAAGAGAAAAAAUUAUGGUGGAAAAAGCACAUGUUAAUUUAAUAAUUCUUACUACACUCUUUGGGGAAAACAAAGGAAGGUUGCUCUUGAUUCGAUUUUGAUUACAAAUCUUGUCGUUUUGAUAUGUCUUAACAUAAAUUCCAUUUUGAAACUUGGAAAAUAUCCUAAUUUGAAUCUGAUCUAGGAAAAUGGGGAAUAUAUAUUUUUUAAAUAACAAUAAUGGGAAAUAAAUUGAAAUGUGAAUUACAUAAAAAAAAAAAAAAAAAAAAAGGCUCAAAGGUUUCAUUUUCAUAUUUUCUUUUCUCCAUGUAUUACACAAUCAUUAUGCAACGUGUCAUGUGCUAAAAAUAGUAAAGUGACUCAUGAGAUUGGUGAUGUUACAAAUAGAGUAUAAGCACUAGCAAUUUGUGUUUGUUCUUUAAUUAGACCAACAUCAAAUAAAAAGUUGAUACGUUUUCGAGUAGUAUCAACAAUAAGAUUCCUAUAUUCAGAAGUCCUAGCUCAGUUGAUAAAAUGUCGAAAUUGUUAGGUCGAUGUUGUGAUUGGGGUUCAAAUCCUGGUAUCUUCAUUUAUAUUGUAAGUUUAUAAUGACUUUAUCAUUUCGUCUAUUAAAAAAAAACAAUAAGAUUCCUAUGAGAACUCACCGUCAUGUAAAUUUCUUUCCAAAUGAAAAGUUUUACAAACUUCAUUUUAUUCUCUUUCUUGAGCCACAUGAUUAACCAUUUAAUAAAAACACUUAUGUGAUAGGCAUAGUGUAACUUGCUAGAUGUUUCUCAUAAAUAAGAAAAGGCAUACAUGAAGAAUCCCUUUCUACAUAAGAUUUAUCAAAAGUGACCUCAAAAUGAUCCCCUAAAUGGUUGAAACUUUGCACUAGAAAUAUACAUGUGGCAGUGCCUAAAAAUUGUGGUAGAUGUUAAAAUAUAACAAUUCGUUAACUUUUAUCAAUAGCAAACUAGAAUGUUCCUUUUUAAUUUGAUGGCUUUUAUCAAUUUUCAAAAUAAAUUAUGCUAUCACUAAAUUUCAUUAUCUUCUUUAUUUAAAAAAAUGGGUUAUAUUAAAAAAUUCUUUGAAAUUCUAAAAUAUGAAGUAAGCAUUUUAUGUUAUUGAAUUAUAAGGUUAAUUGUUGAAAUAUUUAAAUAACUUUAUCAUUUUAAAUUUUAAAAUUGAGUAUAGAAAUAUAACCAAAACCUACAUAGUAUGUUAAAAUGGUUGAUCCUUGAGUUCUUUAACCAUUUAAUUAUUGGUUUGAUUUUAUGUAUAUAGAAAAAUAUUUGUCGAAAGAGAUCAAUACAACAAAAAAAUGAAUACGAGAAUACUUAUAUCUCGUGGAGGGCACUUAUAUAGUACAUGUACUAAUAUCAUCAUUUUAACAUUGAUAAUAAUUUAAAAAAUGAAAUAAUUGAAUGCAAUCAUAUACAUAUGUUAUGUCGGUUUUUGACACGAAUACAUAUGACAUCAGACACGCUUUCAAUAUAAAAUGUUUGAUAGUGCUACUAUAUUUUUAAACAAUUGUAUUGAUUCUUGGUGAUGUUAUUUAUUUCAUUCAUAAAGAUAUCUCUAAUCAUAAGUCAUAAGUCAUAACCCAUGUGUUAUUAUUUUCCAAUGACAUCACAUGCUACUCUGAAACCACUGCCACAUCAUAAAUUCAUACCACCCCUUCACUCUAUUUAUACCCCCACACAUCUUCUUUCCCUCUCCACACUCCUCAAUUCAAACAACAAAACUUCACCUCAUUCUCAUUCUCAUUCUCUUUUCUUCUCAUUCUUAAAACACAAUCUCAUUUCCUUAACUUCUUCAAUCAUAACACAAACAAAAAUGCAUAACAUUAGUCUAAACAUGCCACCAAUGUCUCAAACAUUCGACCCCGAAGACAUUCUCAAAAACCGUUGCAUAUUAGUGAAUGGACCUGUUAUAGUUGGAGCUGGUCCAUCAGGCUUAGCAGUUGCAGCUUGUUUGAAAGACCAAAAUGUUCCUUUUGUCGUCCUCGAACGAGCUAACUGCAUUGCCUCGCUUUGGCAGAAUCGAACCUACGAUCGUCUUAAACUUCAUCUUCCUAAACAAUUGUGUCAACUACCCAAUUUUCCAUUCCCUGAUCACUUCCCUGAAUACCCUUCAAAAUUUCAGUUCAUAAGUUACCUCGAAUCAUAUGCGAAAAACUUUAACAUAACACCAAAUUUCAAUGAAACAGUGCUUUCUGCUAAGUAUGAUGAAACCUUUGGUCUUUGGAGGAUUAAGAGCAAUAGGAUAAAAAGUGAUAAAGUUGUUGAAGUUGAGUAUAUUUGUAGGUGGCUUGUGGUUGCUACCGGUGAAAACUCGGAGAAAGUUGUGCCGGAAUUUGAAGGUUUGAGUGAUUUUGGUGGAAAUGUUAUGCAUGCUUGUGACUAUAAAUCUGGUGUGAAUUAUAGUGGAAAAAAUGUUCUUGUUGUUGGAUGUGGAAAUUCUGGCAUGGAAGUUUCUCUUGAUCUUUGUAACCAUAAUGCAAAUCCAUCAAUGGUUGUUCGAAGUUCGGUGAGUACUUAAACAAAAAUUAAUUACUUUGAUUAAUGUUAAUCUUGAUUCAUUGUUUGCAUUUUUAUGUGUAUAGAUUGUGACCAUCUUUAUUUUUUGUGAUUUUUGAUUAAUAGGUUCAUGUGUUACCGAGGGAAAUAUUCGGAAAAUCAACUUAUGAGGUAGCUGUUAUGUUGAUGAAAAGGUUACCAAUUUGGAUGGUCGAUAAGAUAUUGCUUGGUCUAACUCGUGUGAUUUUGGGAAAUGUCGAAAAGUAUGGUCUAAAAAGGCCAUGUAUGGGACCUUUAGAGCUUAAGAACACUUCCGGGAAGACACCGGUUUUAGAUAUCGGAGCACUUGAGAAAGUUAGAUCUGGUGAAAUUAAAGUUGUUUCUGGAAUAAAGAGAUUUUCACAAGGGAAAGUUGAACUUGUUGAUGGAAAAGUUCUUGAUAUUGAUUCUGUUGUUCUUGCUACUGGCUAUAGAAGCAAUGUACCAUCUUGGCUUAAGGUUAGUUUGUUUAGUCCUUCUUUGUAAUUAUAUAUGUCGGUGUUGUGUUGGUAUCAGACACGACACGUGUCCGACACCAAGAUACACCUAAUCUGAAGAGUGUCUGUGCUUCAUAGUACUUAGUAGUUCACUUUGUUUAAGUUGAUUAUUUAAUUUGUCUAUGUUAUGUAUUGAACAGGAGAAUGAAUUUUUUUCCAAAGAUGGAAUGCCAAAAGAUCCAUUUCCAAAUGGAUGGAAAGGAAAUGCUGGUCUAUAUGCUGUUGGAUUUACAAGGAGAGGACUCUCUGGUGCUUCAUUGGAUGCAAUUAGUGUGUCUCAAGACAUUGCUAAAAGUUGGAAAGAAGAAAAUAAACAAAGAAAGAAAACAGUGGCUGCACGUCAUAGGAGAUGCAUAUCACACUUCUAAGUGUCUGUUUGAAGUGGCGUUUGAUGAAGCAAAAUCAUAUCUGCAAACUAUUUGGUGUAAAUCUCCCGUGAUUUUAAGAAGCUAAUAAUUAAAGUUUCUGCAUUAAAGUAGUUUUUCACGGUGAUUUGCAACCGCCCAUCCAAACAGGCACUAGGAAACAUAUUUUGAGUUUGCUUAGCUUCUUUUGCUUAUGGCAGGCAAAAGAAUACUAGCACACACAAAAUAAUGUAGAAUUUCUCAAUACAAAUUAUAGUACACAAAAAAUUAGCCCUCUCCUUAAGAAAAUCCAACUGUUUGAUAAUAAUUUAGAUAUUAUUAUUUUUUUCUGUACAAAGGUUGAUGUGGCUUAUUUGAUUAAUUAUGGUUUUUUUUUUAUAAUGUAUGGAAUAUAUUGUGUCACACUCUAAUGAUGUUGUAUUGUAUUACAAAUUUCAUGUUUUAAUACUGAAGUCAAACCUAUCUCCCUCUCUCUCUCUUCUAUAAUCUGAUUUAUUUUUUGGUCAAACUCUUAAUUAAUUUAAAUCCUAAGGGCAAGUGCAAGGGCUUUUGUCCUUAAGAAAAAUGCACAAUAAAUGUUGACAUUGAAGUUGGAAGGAAACGAAUUUGUGAACCUCAUAUAUUCCCAUGUUGCACAGCACAUGGACAGAUCCUGAUGUCAUAAGAAAAUAAAUAUUAGAUGCUUUGAUGCUAUGGAUUGGAACGAAAUUUGAAAGAAAAUAAACAAUUUUACUCUUUUAUCAUAUAGCACGAUUUCUUAUUGUAAAUGGUUUUUUAUAAUUAAUUCAUGGAAGUUUAUUUGAUCGAUGGAGAACAGAGUCGAUUCAAGGAUAAGGUCAUUAAAACCUUUGUUUUUGGUCUCCGAUUAAAAAAAAUAUUUUUUCAUUAGAUUUUAUAAACAAAAAGACCCUCAUAUGUCGACCAAAAAGAUCCCAUAUAUUAAAAUUUGUUAUAGAUCUCACCUAAAAAUAAAAAUUAUUGGACCGACCUUAAUAGAGACAAAUAGAAUCGUACGCAAUUACACAUUGAUAGAAUUCGAGAUUUACAAUAUGCAACAAUUUCAUGGACAUCAAUAUAGUUCUGUUUAUUAUAACUUGAGUUGGAUCUAAUAGAAAAUGUUUGCCUCCAAUUGGGUUGGCCUAGUGGUAUUGGUUUGGGAUCUGGGAGUGUGGUCCUCCUCGAGAUCUCAAGUUCGAUUCUCCUUUAUGCCAAUUUAGAUAGGCUAAUUUAACUUCUUAAAAAAAAAUGUUUGCCAACUAGACUUUUUUGAACAAGGUUUACCUCCAUAUUCAUGACCUGAUGGUGUCUAGAAUGAGAUUAUCUAACAUAUAUUUAUAAAAAACCAAUUUAUUUGUUUUAGUGAAUGAAAAUUAAUUUAAUAAUAUAUAUAAAAGAUAGAUUAAAUUAAUAAAUUUAAAUCCUCAAAUAUUAACUGUUUCAAAAAAAAAAUCCUCAAAUAUUAAUUGAUAUCAAUUUUAUUAUGAAUUAAAAAUGUUCUUUAAUGUUAUUUUACAUUUAUUAAAUAGUUGAACCGUUAAUUUUAUCAAAUAGUUUCAAUUAAUUUAUCAAGUAUAUCAUAAUUAGCUAUCAACUGUCAUCUAUAAGCUAUGCAUCAUCAUUCACCAACUAUAAGUUAUCAUCUACCCGAUCUUUUACCAAACAAAGGCUUAUUCAUACUAUUGCCAGAGUAAUAAUUUUCUUUACCAUAUGUAAGAACUGCAUAAUAUCGAUCUAUUAACUUCGUGUAAGACUAAUAUUCCCUUUGAUCCUAUUUAUAAGAGACAUUUUAAUCAAUAAAAACUGAUGUAUUUGGUUCAGAGAAGUAUUUCUAAACAAACAACACUUUGUUGUGAGGAGUGCUUAGAACUUCAUUUAACUAAAAAGUUCUCUAUUUUUUAGAGUGUUUCAUUUAAUUUCUUGAUGUUCUUAAUAGGCACAUCUACAGUUACACAACCUCAUAAUAGGCACAUCUACAGUAUGACUAAAGAUACAUGAACUAAAUAAAUGAAAAGAAUCUUAACUCAAAGCAAACAAAACAAUACACCAGAAAAUAUCAAAUGCUAGCAACAAGAAGCACAACGCUAGUACCAAAAUACAAAGACACCAUACACCAAGCAAGUUUUGUUAUUAACUAUAAAUUAUUUAAAAUUUUAAGUCAAAUCUCAGCCAACAAACUAAUCAUUUUGGAAUAUUUCUUGUUGUAGGUUGCCAAUAAUUAAUGUUUUAUUGAGUUAUAUAUAUAUAAUAAAUAGUUUUUUGAUUGAAUAUAAUGAAAAUAGGUUGGAGAUGAGUUAAUUUUAUAUAUUUGGACAAAUUGAGUUUUAUUGAAUUUAUGUGAGCCACCACCUCAAGAUACAAAGUUUAAAUUCAUUCGAAAACAAAAAAACUGUCUUUAGUAAAAAUCAUUAAAAAAAAAAUCAUUGAAAACAAAUUGAGUCUUAUUGAAUUUAUGUUGCUAUUAAAUUAUUUGGAUAGCUUAAACUCGAGAAUGGAUUCUCUCAAUUUUUCUUUUAAAUCAUUACAACUACUUGAAAGAAUUCAUUCCCCUAAAACCCAUAUAAUCGGUCGAAUUAAAUCGGAUUUUUUUACAUAAAGAAUUCGAACUAAAUUGCAUACAAUAUAAUGUUUGGAUUUAGUGAUUUUUUACCUUAACAGCUCUUAAAAAAUUACAUUUUUGUUUCAUGUACAAGUACAAGCAUGUAAUAUACUAUGACUUUUAAAAUACAUGUCUCUAAAAUAACAACGAAAUUAUUAUAUCAUUUCAAAGUGGUGGCAAUUUAUAACUAUACGUCACCAACAUUUUUGCAUGGACUUGAAGUAAUCAUCAUACUCUAAUUUUUUAUUUGAGGGACCUUAUACUCUAUUCUUAAUAUCAUUAUGCUGGCUAUUUUCAAUAGAACACUAAAUUAAAGGAGUGCCCAUAUUGAGAAUGAGAGUUUGUAAACCUUCCCUGGUUGUGUGUGUGUCUAUAUAUAUAUAUCAUGUAGCUGAACAAAUCAAACCUCCAUAGUUUGGGUCCAUUGAUUAGGUGACUUCUAUACCUUCACAAAUUUUUGAUACACUCAUUACAAAUCAAGUCACUAAGAAGAUAUUGAGAGGGAACAUAAUCCUUAGAUAGAUACCAUCAAACCAAAUAGUUGUUAGUUAUGGUCAAUCAAAUGGUAUUUGAGUUCAACUACUAACCGUUAAGAGUUAGUUAAGAGUCUCACAUCGGAUAGGAGAUUGUCUGAUAAUGUGUUUAUAAGUGGGGACAAUCCGCACCUCGUAAACCGGUUUUGUAAGGAUAAGUUAGACCCCAAAUUUCCAACAUGGUAUUAGAGCCUCUUCAAGAUCCAUUAGAUCACUUGCUAUCAGAUUUUCGUUAUCGAGCCACCCAUCAUUUAUGUCCACGAAUCAAGCCCAAUAGUGUUGGUCGUGAUGGGGUGUGUUAAAAGUCCCACAUCAGAUAGGAGAUGACCUGACAAUGUGUUUAUAAGUGAUGGCGAUAUUCACUUCACAAGCCGAUUUUGUGACGAUGAAUUAGACCCCAAAUUUCCAAUACUAACUGGGACAAUUAUUAUUGAUCAAACUUUAUUCUGACCGAAUUUUGAAUUAUUCAUAACCCUUUCUACCAAUACCAUCAACACUGUGUGUCCCCAUCUGUAGUGUACUUAGCACAACACAGAAUUGCAAGUGGGAAAACCAAUAUCUGUGGGAGCAGAAAACGCCCAUCUAUUUAUACACAUUGAUUUCUUGAGUGUUCCAUUCCAUGCAAGUCAAAGAACAAAGAUUUAUGUAAGAAUUUGGAAUCCAAUAUAUAUACAUUAAUUGCAGCCUGCAAUAUGCACCACAUUUCUGUUUCUUUUGUCGACUCAAAUUAUAGAACUUCCAAGGUUACAAUAAAAGCCAUGCAAUCUUUCACUUAGACAUGAUAUAGGAAAACACAUGGGUGGCACCACCCCUUCUCAUUCUAUCAACAUCAAAAGCCCAUUCCUCCAUGUUGUGUUCAGAAUUUAUUUUACUAAUGACUACUGUUUGAGUGCUACAGUUUACUAGAUACAUAGAAAAGGGUUUGGAUACUUCGUUUCCCCAAUGAAACCCUAGUGCUUCAAGUGAGAGAUAGACUCAAAGAAUUUAGAAAAUAAUUCAUUUAUUUUAAUAAUGGCCGAAUUCGCUUAGAUUUAAUAAUGGCCGAACUCGAUUGGUGAUGAGACCCAUUAACUAUUUUUUGUGUCUAUUUCUCUAUAAAUUUGAUUUCUUUUGAAAAACAAAGAAGAUUCCAAUUCAUGUGAGAUGUUGGAAUCCCCUCGGUUUCUCAAAUGAAAUGGAAGGCUCCGUUAUGACUUAUGAUAUAGAGGGACAUACAGAGGAGUUUGGUCGAACCAAUUUUUAAAAUUAUUUUUAGACGCGAGUCCUUUUAAUAUCUUAUGUCUAUCUCUUAAAUGAACCACUCAAUUUCUUUUGUUCCUAUGAGUGUUUGAUUAAAACAAUGUUAAAACUUUUGAAGAAGAAUUUUGCCGUUCUUGUUUUAUACGACUCGAGCGAUGGUAUCUACAAACCCUGUUUGUGCUAAAAAAAUAUAGUUUAGCCACAAUAUACAUUGAUGCUUUGAUUGAUGCUCAUACACAUACGUAAUUAUGAACCUUUCAUAAUGCUAAAACACUAAAUGAGAUUAGUCCACUAGUGAUCCAAAUCAAAUGUUAAGUUACUAAUAUUUGCUUGUAACCAUAUGAAAGAAGACAUUUUGACGCUUUCCACCUGUUGUUGUAAUAAUUGGUCUAGAUUCCGGAAGAUACGAUAGUUCUUGUCUUACCAAAUAACCCUAAACAGGCGACAACCAAAUCACAUUUUUAACAUAACACAACUUUUUAUAAUCAUCUGCUAAAUAUGUAAAAUUUCAAAAAUGAUCAAUAACUUGUGACCUGUAAGACACUUGUAUUUCAAGCGACAUCCGAACAUGCACUCAAAUGCUACCAUAAAAUGCACAACCCACAAACAAAUGAUUUGCAGUUUCAUAAUGACCGCAUCCACUUGCACAGUGACCUGAAGUUUGCGGAUUGAUUCCCCGACGUAUCAAAUUAUCUUUAGUAGGAAGCCGAUUUAGUAAAAACCUCCGGGUCAUUUGAGAAACCUUUAAAGGUUCCUCUUUCUUCUACACAGUGUCCUAUUAUUUCGACCUUUCAGAUUACAUCAAAGAACAAAGUGAAGGAUAUACCGUUGGUGAUUUCCAAAAUAAUGGAAUCACUUUAGAACCAAAACUUGUAACUCUUCACCAAAAGUUGUAACUCUUCAUUAGAAUCAUUCAUAUACAUUAGAACAUUAUUAUUUACUAAUAGAUAAUGAACCAUAGCAUUGAUUCAAGUCAAAAAUCUGAUGUACAUGAUCAUAACCUUUGGCAAAGAGGUGUUUAAUGAUUCAUAGCAUUUAUUCAAGUAAAAAAUUUGAUAUAUAUGAUCAUAACCUUUGGCAAAUGGGUGGUUUCUCUCAUGUGAAUGGUCAUAUAAUGCACUAUAAAUGCUUGGCAUUUGGGCAUCAAUUUGGACAUGAAUUUUGUUACAUUAACAACAUAAUUCUCCCUCAUUCUCUUACUCUAAAUCAUCCAUCAAUUCUCUAAUGCAUGAGUGAAUUGCUGGAACCAUAAAUCUGGAAAAUACUUAUUAGAAUAUAAAAUAUUCAUUGUAUAAAUUAUUAGAUAUUAUUUAGAUAUAAUUGAGGACCAAGUUAAAGAUACUUGAUGCCCAAGAUACUUGAUGCUCAAGUUAGAGAUACUUGAGGCCCAAGAUAUUGUAUAAAUACACAUUACAACAUAAUGAAACACAUGAGCUACCUCUCACAUGACAACAAACAGAGGUAAUCUCUCACGUCUUAUUCCAAUAUUAGUAAUCAUAUAUUGUCGGUAGUGGUCAUAAUAUUUUCAGUUAUUGAUCGUGGCAAUGCAUUACUAACCAAUUCCCAUAUGUCCCUAGCCUUGAAAAAUGUCCUACAUGCACCUAAAUUAAUUAAAAACCUUAUCUCUGUGCGCAAAUUUAUCAUUGAUAAUGAAGUUACUGUUGAAUUUGAUCCCUUUGGUUUUUUUUUUUUUUUUUUUGUGAAGGACUUUCAGACAGGCAUACCGUUAAUGAGAUGUACUAGCUUGGGUGAACUUUAUCCUCUUACUUCAAAAAAGCCCUUCCCCUUCCACUUUCGUUGCUAUAUUGGUAAUUAAGCAAGGGCAUUCUGAUACAAUACGUGAUGUGCGCACAAACUUAGCAAAUAAUAAUAUCUAAUAAUUUAUACAAUGAAUAUUUUAUAUUCUAAUAAUAUUGUUAAGAGAUAUGAUUGGUGUGAUUAUGCAAUACACAUCAAGAAACUAAUAGUAUCCUGAAGAGGAUUUGAUGGUCAUUCCUAUUUCAUCCAAUAUACAAUUAUUGGUGGGGGCAAAUCGAACCUAAAUGUUAGUGUGACAACCCCAUACACUUUGAUUUUUACGUGCAUAACCAUUAAACUUUUUACAUUGCAAGCGCAACAACCUCUUCUCAACAAUCAAGUUAUUUAACAUACACCGCUCGAACAGAGUGCCUUUUUCCAAGGUCCAAGACUCCAGUCUCAUUUAUCUUCCACACCCUCAUUUAUCAUGAUAACAUAUUCUAUCUCCCUUUAUCAAACAAGUGAUAAUGAUAAAAUAUGAUAGUUAAUCAUAUUCUACCUCCCUUAUCAAUACAUGAACUUCUUCCAGAGUAUUGGCGCCAUUAAACCAUGUUGGAAAUGGCUACCAUGUUGGAAAUGGCUGCAGCAUUUAGAGCCCCAAUCUUCAUUGAUGAAGCUAUCAAGAAUCGCAACUAUGUUCUCUGAAUAAAUCCUUGUGGACCUUGAUCUUAGGUAUGUUUCAUGAUGAGAUCAUAGUGGAACAUGAUGGUGUGUCAUUAAUUUUGAAAUCGAAUAUCAAACUAUUCCAGAAUCUUGUAGUCAUUUUAUUGGACAUUUAUUUAACAAUUGCAAAAAUAAUAGUUUAAAAUAAAUAAAAUAACUAACUGUUCAAGAACAACUAAAGAUCCAUUCAAACUCAUAACAAAAAUAAAAUAAACUAAAUCCAUCCAAACUUAACAGAAUGUUACAAGAAUUACUCGACAAUAUUAAGGUUCAAUCAUAUUAGUGGCUGAAAGUGAAUCGUCCGAAUUUUGCUUUCACUUAUCAUUUGUGUGGCUUAAUCCUUUACCUUCUUUGGGCAUCUUUUUGUAAUGGGGUGGAUUUGACCCUUUUAUCAUUCCUCGUCUUUUUUUUAUGUAAUUUGAUACUCUUUCGUUCAGUAAUAUUUUCCAUUUUAGCUUCUUAAAAAAAAACAUGACUGUUUUCCAAUAGGUUUAUAAGCAAAAGAAAACAGGUUUUAUCUCAAUGCUACAUGGAAAAGAUACGGUCAAUGUGCCGACAAAUGUAUAUUAGAAUUUGAUUAUUUUGGUGAAUAAUCUCUAAGGCUUUGCUUGGGAGUUUAGAGGGGAGGAGAAUGAAAUAUUUUGGAGGGUUGGAAAUAUAGGAGAAAAUGGUACAAUCUUUCACAGUUUUUGUAAGAGUAAUUUUUUAGAGAUUGAUAAAUUAAUGUUUAUGAUUAAUAUAUUUUUAAUUAUAAGACUAUUAUAACUACGUAAAUUAAGUUUGAAGAAUAUAUGUAAACCUUUAAAACAUCCUAAAACUCUUCUCCAAUACAAUUUUUGAGUUCCCAAAAUGAAAAAGAUUUUGUAUUAUGAAGAAAAUUGAACCCUCAAAGCCUUCUCUAUAUCUUCCACUUGCUCCUUUCUUUUUUAUCAAACCUCUCCCCUCCCUUCUCCUUCAAACUAUUAUAUCAACUAUUAAUUCUAAUUAUAAUAUUGCACUGAAUAAAAUGAUAUUUAUUAAUGGGCUAUAAUUAGAAACGAGCCGUGAUGGGUUGUGACGUUUCUCAUAGUAAAUCUGUUGAGAGAUCUCUCUCCCUACUCGUGCUUAUAUAUCCUGACUAUCCCAUUCCGUAAGAUAACUUUUCAUUCUAAAGCAGCAAGAAGGGAGAGAAGAGUCUCUCAACCCUACCCCGCUCCAGGUUUAUGUAACAAUAUCAUUUAACUACCAUCUAAUCAUGGUAUACAUUUACUGUAUUUUAAACGUAUUUUAUAAUACGCCAUAAUUUUGUAUCCAUGAUUUUGGACUAUCUCUGUUAAAUUUCCUUCAUAUAGAAUUUCGACAUGUGCCAUUCGCUUAAAUAGUAUUUCGACACAAGAACAUAAUGUUCAAGGAAUCUAGAAUCCAGAACAGUAGUAUCAAACUAUUCGUGAUUAUGAAACACCAGAAUAUAUUUAGCUAUAAUCUUGAAGUUUGACAAAAUGUAUAUGAUGGUUUAUACUUUAUAGUCAUGGUUUAUUUUUAUUUCUCCUUGUAUUGUGUACCAUGACAAAAGUUCAUACAACUAUAUAGACCUAAAGCUUAUUACUGAUAGUUUACAUUUACACUAUUAGUACAGCUAGAGACAAAGUUUUGACUUGAUGAUUAUUCACAAUGAGUGCAAUUCACAAUGAAAAUAGAGACUCAAUGCAUAUUUUGAAGGCACAUCUAUGUCACUGAUUGGAACAUGUAAUCCUUUAGAAUCACUUCUCUGAAAGCAUCUUUUCAAUUUCACCAUUUUUGUUGUACAUAUCCACAAUUUUCUUAGCAUAUGAAGGCAUGUGCCUAUCAGCCCUGCAACCAUUUAUGUUUCAACAAUAUAAACAAAUCACACUUUUGCAUCAAAGUGAAGAUGGCCAUAAAUAAAUUGUUCCACAUACCUUUCCUUUCCCCACAACCGGUUUACGUAUAAAUAGUUCCGAAUGGUGUGAUAAUCAAGCGAGUAUCGUGCAAAUUCAAUGCCCUUUGGACCAACCUGAACGUAGAAAGCAGAGCCAAGAAAGAAAAAAAAAAAUCACUAUGUUAAGCAUAUUAAUGUUGUAUACAUUUAUCAAAUUAUCAAUGGAAAAAUUGUUUAAGAGCCAUUUACCAAAUUUAGUAAAAAUGCAAUCAGGUUUCCAACAAAUUUUGGGGCAGGCUGAGGAGGACCUCUUCCUGAUUAAAUCAGACAUUCCAAGGAAAAAUAAUCAAAUAUUCAUUGUUAAUCAAAACAAAUAGAGAAAAGAUACUUAAGGUAAAAACCAUGGUAAGUUAACUUCAUGUUCUCCCGUGGAGAGAUAAAUCCACAGAAUUUCAUCAAAAAGAAAAUAUCUUAAAUAAAGCAAGUGAACAUGAGGUCAAAAUUAGUGUUCUCAAAUAGUGGCCAUAGCAUAGAAGCAUUUGAAUAAACCGCAAUUGACAACACUGGUCCAGAUUCAAGUACUAAAUGUAGGAUAAAUGUCGACGACAAAAAAAGUGUAACAGAAACUUCUAUAAAAUAAAUACAUUACAAAAUGAAUUCCAAGCAUACCAAAUUUAGCUUUAUCAUCAGCCUUAACAGUCUCCAUGACAAAUGGUCGCCUAUCCCCCUGAAUAAUACAGCAAAAAAUUACAUCUGUUUUUUCGAGAGAGAGGAUUCUUCAAACAAACAAAGCUGAUAACUUACUGAAUUAACUGUUGGAGUAAUCUCAAGUAAGUUCUUUACAAGACUCAUCAUCUCUCUUCCACGUUCAUUCCUGUUGUUUCAAGAACAAAAUAUGCAGAAUCAACUUCUAGUAAAGCCAUAUUCCUUCAAGAAACAGUUAUGUAUGACAAUUCAAGAAAAAUGUAGACACUUAGAAAGUGCAAAAAGAGACUUAGGCAUCUUAAAAGUAGCUUUACCUGACAGUAAUGUAUUGUGGAUGUUGUGUCAUGCUGAUUCCGGAAUAUUUUGGCACGCCCAUAUAUCCAACGACCAGGUCCUGAAAAUUCGACACCAUCUAAUAAAGUGAUAGUUUUUUAACAUAAAACAACAGAUGGUGAAGAAAUUAGAAUGGAACAAUUUGCAUAGAAGUGAACAAGUAAAAGUAAAAAAGUUGGCUGUCCUAAGUUCAGGUGAAAUAAAAUACAUGCUAAAAUGACAAGACAGUUGAGAAGAAAACGACUUACUGCUAAACCAUUUGUAUAGUCAAAACAGCUGUAGAAGAGAGAGAGAUUAUGACCAAUUAGUGCAACAUAAAAAGAAGGAGCAUAUAAGAAAUCAAAACAAAACCAAACUUGUGACUCUAAACACAGUAAAAGAACAAAUAACCUGUAGCAAGAUGGAGCAAUAACAUCAACCAAAUCAUUUGCUGGGAGACAGAAAUAAGGAACCUGUUCAAGUUAAAAUUUAAAACUAAAUGAAUAUUUUUGUUUGUGAAUCCAGGGAAUAGUAAAAUAAAAGGGUCUUCUUUUACCUCUUCAAUACGACCGUCCAAAUGCUUCAAGUGAACCUGCCAGGAAGUUUAAACAGGAACCGAGUAAGGCAAUAUAACCUUGGUAAUAAAGCAAGAAACAGUGUCAUUGAUUGCGAAUGGCAGACCAUGGAGGAAACCCAAAAAUCUUCAGUUUUAAGCCAUCAUGUAACGCCAUGGUGCCACCAACCUUCACAAAUUGGCCAUGGAGGUUGUAAAAAUGUCUGCCACUGCAAUCCGUUGCGGCGGCACCAUAGUUGAUAUUUGACAACAUUGGCAUGAUGCUCUAGUAAACUGUUGGAAAUUCCGCCUUAAUUGUGGUCUGCCCCUAGUCGCCUUAAUUGCGACCUUUGGUUAGCCUUAAUUGCAGCCUCAAACACCUUCAUUGUGUUGGCUUUGAGGGGGUGGAUUUAGUCCCACAUCGGAUAGAUAGCACUCUUGAGAAGAGUUUAUAAAGAGGAGGCACUCCUCACCUUACAAGCCGGUUUUGUAAGGAUGAGUUAGACCCCAAAUUUCAACAUAAACCAUUAUUUUAAAUAACGAAUUAUCCAAAACAUUGUGGUAAUGCUAAGGACAGAAACUUUCCUCAAAAGGGCUUUCCUCUUGCUCCAUUCGCACAAUGCAAUUUUCUAAAUGACUCCUUUCUACUCUUAUUUCUCCACAUUUAACUAAUACAUUAAGUUGUCUACGCUCUAUAGCCAUGUUUGGAUAAACAGCUUAAUUAAGUGAUUAUAGUAUAAGCGCUUAGCACAUAAGUACUUAUGUAUAAACUAUUUUUAUAAGAAAAGAUAAAAUAAAGUCGAACAAUUUUCAUAUAAGCUAUAAACUGUUUUCGUAAGCUAUCUCAGAAAACUAAUGGAAAUAAGUUGAAAACAAUUUAUGGACAUGUAAUAAGUUGUUUUCAUAAGCUCUUCAAAACAGUCUAACAAGUGUUUAUGCUAAUAAAAAACUCAAAUAAACCAAUUGAAACAGGCCCUUAUAAAAUAUGAGUUUUCAGCAGAAAACCUUGUAAUCUUGCAUAAACUCAUAAUGGAGAACUGUUUCAGGGGAAUCACUCGCAGCAUUUAGAAACUUAUCCAGUCCUUCCCUGGUUCCGUUGUCCACUGUCGAAUAAGGGUCGUAGAAAGUUUGAACUUGUCCAACAUAAUCAAAACAUUGCAACAAAAAGACGAAUAGCAAACACAAGAUAUGCAUACCACAAUUUGUGCCUAAAACAUAGAGCUUAUCCAAAUUCAAGUGGUGCUCUACAGAUCUUAAUGCUGCAAUUGAAGAAAUUAUUCUGCAUUACAACAUAACCAGUCACAAUGGAGAAAGGGAAAGGAAACUAGAAAAGAAUAAACCUUUACAGUAGUGGUACCUUGGACCUGGCAACCUACACCACAGAAAAGAAGACGCUUGACACCUGCAGCCUGUCAAUGAUGAAAAUUCAAACAGUCAGAGAAUGAAUAUAAAAAGGCUUCUUUGAACAAUAUCUGAAAUAGAAAACAGGACAUGCACAGUUAGUGUAAACUAGUUUUACACUUACGGUCAAUGAGAAUAAAAUAUUUUGUAGUUAUUUUAAAAUGCAGUUACAAAAUGAGCUGUUUUUGGCAAUAUAUAGAGUUCUAACUGGAUGGAUGACAGUGUAAAAUAAUUUUAUACUAACAAUGUAUAUCUAUUAAACUUAAUCUAAAAUUGAUGGAACUAAACAGAGGAGUGACAUAUACACAAAAAACAUCGGAAAUUGACAUGUUGUCUUCUCUUCCAGUUUUAUUUUUUUGCUUUUUUCGUUGAGGUUCUCUUAGUUACAUAUUGUAAGAACUUAGGUAUUUGACCUUCUUGGACUCUCUACAAGUUAUUCUUGAUACCAACAACUUGGUUACAGAUCUUUCACCUUUAAGGGUCAGAGAAAUAACAUUAACUCUAAGAAAAUAUCCAGUUCAAAACAAUGAACAACUUUUUUAAUAGACCAGAUGCUCUUAGGCAUUGUCAAAAAAUGUGAUCAUUUUACUGUCACAAUUCACAAAUCUUUUUCCACUCAUAAUUUUGUUGAAAAAAAAAAAAGAAUGCAAAAACAAUUGAAUUACGUAGAGAACAUCCUCAAAACUCUCAUAAUCAGCAAACAAAAAUGGUCAUUAGCAUCUCCCGAAUUCUAAUAGUUUGAAGAUUCCUAGAAAUUGAGAGCACAUGGCAAAUUAAAGGCAUAAAGAUAAAAUGACAAUGGGUCUGAUUUCUUUGUGAUGUUUCGUUAGGAUCCUAGCAAUGGAGGAUCUUCCAAAACUAGGGAAAUCGGAUUGUUCGCCCGUAGCUUUUAUCUCCUACUCUAGAGCACUAUCAACACAAUUUUCAAAAUAAGCUUCCUAAUCUCUGUAAGGGAAGUUUAGUCUCAUUUAUAAGUCAUAGGACUAGAGUACAGUUUAUUAGAACAGAAAAACUAAUUUACCUAACUAGCGUUUCUCUUUUUCCUAUAGUACACAUAAGUAAUUAUAUCUUUUGUUGAGUAUUCUUAUAGGUGCCUAUCAUGUUUUACAUAAUACCAAGAUACUAGAACCUUAAACAGUUAUAAAUAUCUUUCAUGAAUGAAAUAGAUAACUUUAUUUGUGUAAAGAAUUUGACUCUACAUGCAAUUGAAAGAUGUAAACACUAAUCAGUGCUUAUACGACACAUUCUCCAACAAAAAGGGAAUUACAAACCUCAACAAGCGCAAGGGUAUUGAGGUUAGGAGAUAAUGUUGGCUUGACACCUUUAGCAGCCAUCACUUCUUCUGGUGUCCUGAAGAAAUUAAGUAUUUUAAUAAGUAAACCUAUAUAUUGAAAGAUACUUAACAGGUUUGCUUAAAAAUGUAAUAACAAAACGCCAACCUUGCUAAAACAGGUCUGGGAGCAAAUCUGUCAUCAGGAUCACUGAUAUACAAAGUUAGAUCAAAGUUAAUUACACAGAAAAUAAAGUCAGAUUAAAGAACGAAAAGACACUAGAAAUAUGACUCCAAUAAAAACAUGUAGAUUUUUUAUGAUACCUUUGUACACAGAUAACAGCUUCAACCAUGCCUGAUUUAAGCAUUUCAAUUGCAAUGGUUGUUACUAUACCAGUCCAUUGAGCUCCUAUGAACAGAACGAAUUUUACAAGUAAAACUGUUCAUCAGAACUUUGAUAACAUGACUAUGCCCAUCAUAGACAUAAUUGUAUAAAUAAUUUAAUCAAGAAAUUAGUUGCAACUGCAGGACAUUUCGAAACACAAUUUCAUUGUACAAGACAAGUAAUUCUUAAAGAGCUGUGCUAUUGUGCACGACAAAAUCCACACACGACAGGUACGACUGUUUACAUGGCAUCAUCAUCUUGGUUUAAAUUAAAUUUUGAUUAAAAUAAUUUUAAAAAACUGAAAUAGCUGUUGGCAGAAUACACGUCGUGUGCAUUUGACAACAACCAUGUGUCGUGCUAUAUAAUGUUUUCCAAUCUUAAAUUACAGUUAAGCUUCUGGUCUGUCCAAAAGCUCAAUGAGGGCCUCUUUGCAUUGAUUAAUUUAAGCUUAACUACUAGAAUACAAACUUGCGAAACUGCUAAGAACUUAUAGAAACAGUUUAUGAAGUAUCCAUAAGCUAUAAGUUGUUUCUAUAACCUCUCCAUGAUAGCAUAUGAAAACAACUUAUAGCUUAUAUGAAAUCAGCUUGACUUUAUUUUAUCGUUUUGUUAUAGAAAAAGCUUAUACAUAACUUAUAUUAUAAGCGCUUAAUUAUGUUGUUUAUCCAAACUAGGCGUUAGACAUUGACAUUGAAGCCUUACUCCAAACUAAAUACUAAAGGAAACAGAAAUAGUUAUAUCAAUGAAACAUUUCGGUGUGAUCUUAAUUUCUAUGAUCCUAAAUAAAUUUAGGAGGCCAUCAAAGUAUGCUAGGAACAAACUGGUCUUGCAACAAAAAAUGGGGAACAAUUUCCUGGUUUAUAGAAUAGUGGCAGAGCUUUGAGGGUUUUCCCACCUUUCAAUGUCAAAAGGCCCGUAUUCUUUCAAAUGACAAGCUGAUCUGUCCUCCCUAUUUAGUAUUUAUAGUCAGCCUAACUAUUCAAUUAUCUAAAUACCCACAAAGGGAUUACCUACCAAUGUCACAUAUCAGAGAAACCAUUGAAAAAAUGCUUCUUAAAAGGUAAAGAAUAGCCAAGAGGUCCCACUAAAAAAGCAGAACAGAAUAAUUUUAAAUGCUUAUUUAUCAGCAUAACAAAAUUAUAGUUUGAACUCUAAAACUUGAGCGCAAUAAAUACACUGCACUCAAAGAUUCUCGAAUUUGAUAGUGUCAUACUCAUUAGAACGAGGAAGCAUAAGAGUUAAACAAUUUUAAAGUCAGAAUAUACCUUCGACAGGGUUAAGUUUCCGAGCAUACAGAAGUUCCUCAAAGACACCUAAGUAUGUCUCGUCUAAGGUAUCAGUUUUUCUCCCUCUACCAUGAACAACAGGUUCCAAUUUCUGAAACAGAAAAGGAAUGAUAAAGAGUCCAAUCAAUUUUGGUUUGUAUAAACUUUGUCAUUUUCUGGAUAUAUUUAUAUCAGUUAUGAAAAUUCUCAUGAUUAAUGCUUAUAAGAAUAUUAAGGCAAUGCUUGAAUUAGGCAUACAAUAAAUGAAGUUUAAUUUAAUGCUGAAGUCACAAAGAAAUAACUGCUGCAUAUUGAAAUUUCAAUUUGAUAUAAUUCCUUAUCAGCUUUGUGCAACAAAGUGUACUAACAUUAACAUAGUCCUGACAAGUAAUCAUUCAAUAGAAGUGAACCAUUUUUGUUGAAAAAGUAAAUCUAGUUCAAAUGCCAGAUUCUUCUACACUAGAAUGGCUGCUUAUUGAUUAUUUCCACUAGGUGCAAACUAAUUGAUUUGAUAUUAAUGUGGCUAAGCAACACAGCUUUGUUCCCAAAAAUCAUCACUUUGUUAGUAACUUUGUGAAAUAAGCGAACAUAAAACUCAAGUCGGAGAAGAAAAGGGUUCCUCUCCUUUUCUCUUUCAGUUUCAAGUCCUACUAUGUUUUACACUUGGCCUAACUCAUCAUUACAACACUGGCCUCUUCAUGCCCAGUACUAUUGGACCUAAUGCUUGGAUAACUUUUUUUUUUUUUUGAAGUAACUAAACUAGCCCACCCAAAUUGGCACCGAAGAUAAUCGAAACUGGGACCUUAACGAGGAGCAUACUCCAAGGUCUCACGUUAACACCAUCAGACCAACCCAAGUCGAUAUCGGAUGACCCAAAUGAAUAGCUCUGCUACCAUAUUAUUUUUUUUAUAUUAAGACUAACUCAGCCUUACAAAAUCAACUUGAUCCCUACAUCUGACAUAAUGCUAACAAUUACAAACAAUAUUAAAAAGUCCUUUCAUAUCACAUAAAAGUUUCAAAAACAAAAAACAAAUUUUUUUAACCAAUUUGAAGAGUAAAAUUUACAUGACAUAGAUAAGCAUCAUUCAUAAAUUAAAGAGACUUACUUCAAUUUUAGACAUUCCAUCUCCCAAGAAAGCACAAGCAUUCUUAACAUGAGCAAUAUAAUAUGUAUCACACAAUCCACAACGACUGCAUUGAUCUUUAGCUGGGUAGGUUCCACCUGGUGGGAUAGGUUUUGACCUUUUCCUCCAGUCCUGUUUUGAAAUGGAGGAUUCUGCUACCAAAACAAGAAGGGUAAGACUGAUAUGAGAAAAGAGAAGUGAAGGAAGGUUGCAUGCACACUAUGAAGCACGGACGUUCGUCAAAUUAGGCAUGUCCCUGAUACGGACACGCUUACACAUAUAAUUACAUUGAAUUAUGUGAUUUUAUCAAAUUAUUAUCGGUGUCCGUGUGUAAGUCUCAUGUGUCCGUAAGAGUGCUUCAUAGCAUGCAGAGAAAAAGAAGAGCUGGUAGGUAGUACUUUACCUUGUGAUGAAGAAGAAGCACGAAUAGAGAGAGAAAGAGGUAGCGAAGAGAGAGAAGACAUUGCUUAGCAGUAAACUCAGUUCAGCUGAGUGAGUGAGUGAACACUGAUGAUGAUGUGGCUUUUUCUGUUCCACACAACAAAGUUAAGAAGAAGAGGAUUUCUAAUGUAAUAAAAUUCAAAAAAGGCACAAUAACAUUUUGGUCUUUUAACAAAAUUUUAGAUAAUAAUUUAAUUAUUUAUUUAUUUUAUUUUAUUAUUUCCUUUUUGAUUUAUUUUCAUAUGGAUUUCAUGUUUAAAAUUUAUGGUUUCAUUUUUUUAUGUUCUCUCAAUCUUUAAAUCUAUGGUUUUUCAUUUCCGUUAUAUAUGAAUUUUUGUUUUGAAUAAGCCAAAAUGAAAUAUAUUAACUUAUCAAAGGUGAUUCAUCUUGCACAAAAUGUGCAAAAGAGAACACCCAACAAAACAAAGUUUGGUACAGUCUUAACUCAAAAGGUACAGCGUAAUAAAUAGACAAAAAGCUACACCAGCACACCCCAUGCAUAAUAAGGAUGUUGUCCCCAGUCAUUAUAACUGAAGGCGAAGCUGGGCAUAUUUGCCUUAAGCCAAUUAAAAGACAUAAUCUUGACCCUUUCUGAUAAACGAUCCGAAGUCAAUGACUUUUGCUGAAAAAUCUUGUUAUUUCUUUCCUUCCAUAUAACCCAAACACAAGCAUGCCAGAUUACUGUUAGAAAAGAAUUAGCAGACCUCGACAAACCUGCCAACUGUCCAAAGUGCUGAAAGUGGUCACCAACUGUAGCUGGAGCAAUAAAAGAAAUGCCUACCCACCGAUAAACAUAGUGCCACACUGAACCGAAGACGUCACAAUGAAGAAUGAGAUGAGCCGCAGUCUCAGAACAACCGCCCCCCCCAAUGCAAGAGGUGUCAUCCUGAUGAGUAAUUCCCCUACGAAGAAGGUUAUAUAUUUACAAUUUGAAAAUAUAUGUGCAAAUUAAGUUAAGAGAACGAAAAUAUAAUUUGAUCAACUGAAAAAUAAAUCAAUAGUUUUAAUUUUAAUUUUUAAUACCAUACGAAAAUUUUAAUCAAACAAUUAAACUCAAGUGGUUAAUGAACUUGCUUAAAAAAAGUGGUUAAUCGACUCUACAAAAAGACAAUUUGUUCCAAAGAACAUAAGUUUGAUUCCUAGAUGAAAUAAUAAUCGACCAAACUUAAAUUACUCUCGAACGCACUUCAAAUUACUAGACAACUUUUACUAGAAAAUCGAAGGUUAACAAAAAGAAAAAAUAUACCAUACAAAAAAUUUCUUUUCCGCACAAAGUGUUAGAGUUUGAUCAUGUGUACUAAUUUCCUUUGUCUUUAAUUACUCCAACAAUCCGUAAUUAUAAGCUCUCUUUGAAAAAAGUCUUGUCUAAAUAUAAGGCUUAUACAAAUUAUUAGAUGCAUUUAUUAUUUUUUCCUAAAUAUAUCCCUAAUUAAUACAACUAAAUUGCAUUGGAAUAUAAAAAGGAAAAUUAAAUACACAUAAACAAAGGACAAUUUAGUAAAAUUCACACACAAAUUUGAUAUAUUAUCUACACUACCUACUUUUCUUAAUAUGUGAAAUUAGUCAAAGAGACUUAUAAUAAGAGACGAAAGGAAUAUAAAACUAACUACUACUCCAUCUCAAACUAAGUAUUAGAUUUUGAUCAUUUAAAAUAUGGGUCUUGUUAACGAGUUAUUUACUUUGAUCAUUUUUAUUUACUAAUAUACAAAGAACAAUGGUGCUCCCUUUAUCUUGAAAUAAUUGUUACAAUUUUAAUUUUUAUAUAUGUCAAUGCAUAAUUUUGACCAUUAAUAUCUUAAAUAAUUUAUUAGCAAAAAUCAUUAAAAUUUAUAUUUUAAAAAUCUUUACUAUGAGAAUAAAACAAUAUUUUAUUUAUUAACAUUAUUCUUUAUAUAUUAAUAAUAAAUAUGAUCAAAGUAAGUUACGUAAGUAGUGUACAUGGUCAAACUGCAACAAUUAUUUUCAACGGAAGUAGUGUGUAAAAUGAAAAAAAAAAAAAAAAAAAUUGAAGAAAAAUUAUGUUCUAUUUAUCUUAAUGACUGAUAUAAAAAUAUAUAAAAAAAAUUAUAUAAUUUUGCUAAUAAAUAAUAUAUAAAUUCAAGAUUAAAAUUGUACAUGAACAUGGUUAAAAGUAAAACUGUAACAAUAAUAUUCUUUAAGGAUUUGCUUUUAUUUUAAGAAAAUGAAACUAUUUUCAACAAAGUGAAUAUUUUUCUUUUUGAAACAACAACGUUUAACAAUCAAGUCUCUGCAGAAGAAAAACAUGAACUAAAACUACAAAACAAGAAGUCUUAUAUAGAUGGAACAUCGAGGAAAAAAAAAAAAAAACCAUAACACCAAACUCAGUGCUACCACCAACACCAAUAAGAAAAAUAACCACCAAAAAUCAAAGUCAACACUUAAGUCAAAUCAAGACCCCACACUUCCUCGCGAAUGACAACAUAAACAAAAUUCAAGCAUAUAUUGUCCACUACUCACCAUAACGCUUCAAACAAGCCAUCCAACCAAUCAAAACCCUCGAAAACAGAACAUCAUCUUCUCAUCUCCACAAUUGAGCUCGAUUAAACACCAAAGAAAAGGCUUACUCCAACAAUCCUUCAGGUUCUACCUACAUUCGACCUCCGGUCCGUCAGAGAACACACCAUAACAAGGCAAAAAAAUUGAGUCAAAAAAUUGAUUAUGAAUCUUGAAUCAAAAGCGAUUGACCCACCAUAUACUAUAGACAAAUCACUAAGGCACCCCCACAACUCCCAUCCUACCGGAGAAGACUCUAUAAUCAACCUAAAUAAUUGGACAUAGACACUAACUCUCAAUCCUGAAGCAAGAACAAUCGACCCACCAAAACCUAGGAAAUAAUCCUUCGAACAAUCUUCAAAUAGAGUGGUAACCUAAACAGAACCAGAUCGAAAAAAGGCUUAGCUUGAAAACUUCCCCAAAACAAGGACAACUUAAAAUCAAGUCAUAAACCAAUCGAAAAUCCAAAACCGACACAAGUUAGCAGUAACAAAGAUGUUAAGGAUAUUUUUUUAGAAAAUUAUCGAUUUUAUAACAUUAAAUAAGUUCAUUAAUAUUAGUUUCUUUUUAUAAAAAUUAUCAUAUUAAAGACUAUGGGGUAUGCUAAUUUAUCCCCGCAUAUAAAGAUCAUUUACAAUUUUUUAGAUAUGAUUGUUAUUCUUUAUUAUUUUUUUUACUAAAGUUGUUAUUCUUUUUUCAAUAUAUUUUUUAUUGUCUUCAAAUACGAAAUCAACAUUAAAUUUAUCUUAGCUUCCUCCAUUGUAGAGUGAGGUAUAUUCUUUUCAAGUAUUUAAGUGUGCCUGUCGGGGCAUAUCCUAGUAAAGAAUGGACAUUUGAACCUGAUGUUAAGCUUAUUGCUAAGAGUGUACGUUCAUGGAGUGAUAGGUUUGUUAAUUUGGGUGGGAGGGUGGUCUUAAUUAACUUUAUGCUUCAUUCAAUUGAAAUCUUCUACCUCUCGUUAAUUAAGAUCCAUGUCAAGGAAUGGAAGAGGAAAGUUUGGCUAGAGAGAUGCUUCGUUUAGGGAGGGUAGAACAGGGGGCACUGGGAUAUCUUGGGUUUGCUUCGAGGAUGUGUGUCGGCCUAAGUCGAAAGGGGGAUGGUCUUGGGAUUUGAGAUCAGAGGCUGGUUCACCAAGAUAUGAUGGGGAAGUGGUGUCGGAGACUCCUCUAUGGAGAUGCAAUCAUAUGGAGAGAUAUCAUUUGUGCUACGAAUGAUGUUAUUCAUAUCUCGACUACUUAUGGAGAGAGGGGGUUGCAUGUUGUCAGCUCCCUCCCACGGUGGAAAUGAGUAUCGCUUUGAAGAAGUGAGUCGAUGCUACUCGAAUUGGUUCACUUAAUGAAUGGUAAAGAUUUUGUAUGAUAGUCGAACGUAUUCCUCUUGGGAUAAAGUUUAUGUGGGGGGAUAUUCCAUUAAGGAUGAUGUUUCCUAGGUUGUUACGGUCUUUGUUUAUGCUCUUUGUGGGGUUUCUUUCGAGUCUGCGUAUCGUUUUUUUAUUACUCAAAGGGUGACCUAUAAAGUUUGGUAUAGGAUUAUUAUAUGGUAAGGAUGGGAGUUAGUUAUACUUGGGAUUUGACUUGUCUUUCUCGGUGGUUCUUUGGUUUUGAUCGGAGAGAAAAUAUUAGGGAGGUUUUUUUGUUAAUCUCGCAUACUAUUGGUUUAUAAGAUUCAAUUUUUUUCGUGGUAUUGAUUUUUUAGGCACUAUGAGGGAAAUUUUCUAAUUGAUGUACAUCCUAUCACUAAAAAAAAAUUAUGAUCCCUAAAAAAAGAAGUUUAUAUUGUAUGUAAGACUCUAUUGUGGACGUUCUUAACGUAUAACUCAAUCAAUAAAUAAAAUUCUUAUUUACUAUAAUAACUGAUUAGCUAAAAUGUAUAACUAGUUUUUCUUAAAUACAUUCAUAAUUAAUUUUCAUUAACACAAUCUCAACAUGUUCAUGAUAAAUAUGAUUAAAAAUGUUCAUUUUAAGUUUGAGUACUACAUACCUUAUCAAUUCUACCGUCACAUCGCGAUCGUUUUUUUACUUCCCAGCUACCAAAUCCAUUCAUUUGGGAAUGGUUUUGAGCGUCCAGACUUCAUUAAAGAUGUAGUCUACAUACAUACAAUCUAAACCCAUAUAGGGUUCGAAAUCUAUUAGUAAAAUUUAAAAGAUAUAGUCGUAAACUUUUGGAGAAUAAAAAGUAUAAUUUGAAAUAUUGAAGCAAUUUUUAAAAUUUUUGAAGAUAGAACGAAAGACAUCAAAAGAACCUGGUAAGAGGGCAAUUAUUAAUUUGGAAAUUUAUGGCUUAAACAUCUAGCAUAGGGUUUCCUUUUAUUCAAAUACACAUACAAUACAAGCGUAAACAAGAUUGAGGCUAGAAGUGAAAACAUAUAAAACAAAUUAUUGAAGACAUAUGUAACUAAUGCUCAUUUUGAUCUUUGGUCAACUCAUUUACAUUCACCCCAACAAGCAAGAUUUUAUGAAAAUGAACUCUUAAACCUGACACUUCUUCAAACAAAAUCAACACCGUCCACAUAACUCUCACAUUAGCCCAUCUCUUUUCCCCAACAAUCAACAAAUUGAAGAUGAGAAAUACAAAUUGGCUCAUUUUAUCCUAUCUUAUAACCUUUGGAAAAAUUAUUUUCAACAAUAGCUGACAUCAUCACAUGGAAACCUUAUGCGGCCAACAAACGAGGGUAAUGGUACAUAUAUUUUAUGAUUUCAAGGACUACUUUCACACUUUUGCUAACACAAACCAUCAAUUUCAAAGUAAAAAAAUAAAAAUGUUAAUUAAGUACAAACGUUACAUUUAAAGGAUGCAAGGUUGUCUUUAUCUUGAUAAUUUAAAUCUUAAUAUAUAAAAUUUUUAAAGGAUAGGAAAUUCAAAUAGAUUUUUCUUCAAAGCCAUAGUUCCUAUUAUUUCACAAUAAAAUCAAUUUUUUAAUUUAAGUGUACAAAAGUAAUUUCAACCAAUUAUAGAGAGGGACAUACUCAUCAAAAGGGGUUCCACUUGUGUAACAUUGGGGCAUUUUAUGUUAUAUAAUAUUGUCCAAUCAGGAUGUGCCACGUGGCACACCAUUUUAAAAAAAAUAUAUUCAAUUAAACUGAUGGAAACAAACACGUGAGACAGAACUAGGAAAAUAGAUAAAGAGAUUUCACAAAUUAAAGAUGCUCAGUAACAAUUAAAGAUGCUCAAUCUCACAUAUUUUCAAUCUAACAGAUGCUCAAUUUCUCUGCAACAUCGUUGUAACCCUUUUUUCAGUAUUUUUGUUACAGUUCAAAAAAACCCAAAUCAACCCAUCUCUCAAGAGCUCUAAGAGGGUAGUAGAUAGUUUUCACAGCACUAGAAAUGAUGUAUCUGAUUUAGGAGCUAUCAUCAGAGAAUGUAGGACUACUUUCUCAUCUUUUUUCACAAACUCAAGGGUAGAGUUUAUUAGGAGACAAGCAAAUGAGGUUGCUCAUAGACUUGCUAGGGCGGCCACAUUUUAUGCUAGUAUCCACUAUUUCACUAUAUUACCUGAUUGUAUUCAAGAUGUCCUUAUUAAUGAAAUGAGAUAAUUAUCUUUCUGUCAAAAAAAACCCAUCUCUCAAGAGACAACUGAAAGUGUUGUUAUUACUUAUUAGUCUAUUGAUAUCAACAAUAACAACCCUCAAUUAAUAAGUUUUAGUUGAUUUUCCUCAAUGAAUCUCAAAAUCCAUUCCAAAUCAAAUUCAUCAAAUUUGAAAAAAGAGAUUGUUGCAUGGGAGAAAGAGAAGAGGAAAGGUGGUCGAUGGCGGAGAGGAGGACGGCGGAGGAGGAGAUAUCGGCGGUGGCGGAGGAUAGUUGAUGGUGGGUGGUGAGUUCUGAUAUCGUAGGGGAGAAGGAGAAGAGGGAAUGCGUUUUUGGUUUUCUGAGUUUCUACUCUCACGUGUUUUCUUAUCAGCUUUAAUUGAAUUUUAUUUUUAAAAAAGGUGUGCCACAUGGCACACCCUGAUUGGACAAUGUUAUAUAACAUAAAAUGUCCCAAUAUUACACAAGUGGAAACCCAUCAAAACCUAUGUAGAACAUUGAAAACAGAAUCUAUAAAUUGCGAAAAAGAUAUGAGUGAAAUAGAAAACCUUUUUUUUAUUUUUUUAUUUUACAAAGAGUGAAAUAGAAUACAUGGUUAUACAAUAUUCCACCUGGAAAAUUAAAUUGAAACAAUUAUAAAACAAUAAGUGCAUACUUCACGAGGAAAGAAAAUGUGGCAUAAAUUACUUAAGUGUCCUUUAAAAUCAUUUAUAUGCUAAACAAAAAUGGAGUAUAUCAAAUGAAAAACGUUUCUUAUCCUCUUUUUGUGGUUCCCGAAAACGUUACACUUAUAAAAUGAUACUUUAACAUUUUCCAACCUAUUUCCUUCAAAAAAAAAAACAUUUUACAACCUAUUUGCAUGCAUUCUAACAUCUUUUCACAUUUUCCAACAUUGAAAAUAUCUAUUCUACCAUUUACAAUAGUUAAAUCUCCACCUAUAAUAGACAACGUUUUUCCAACCUCUUUCACAUUUUUUCGAAAACAUUAUUCUCGAAAUGACUAUCUAAACUUUUGUGUACUAAAAAGAAUAUGUUGCGAAAAUUACUUAACUAUCAUGCUAAAAUCUAUGGUCUCAACUUCUAUCCAAACCUUUCUCUAUUAUACAAUAUGUUGUUUUCCUUCUAUCAAAGUGUACACUAUCCUUUUUGUGUAUCAACUUUAUUUGGUGGUGUCCGGGAUUUAACUCUCAAACCUUGCAUAUACCAUUAUUUUUACCAACUGAGCUAAAUUCACGAGGAUCUUUUUGUGUAUCGAUUAAUAUAGGAGACAUGUGUUUAUACCUGCCUAACUAAAACAACAACACUAAAAAAGAAAGAACUCUAAGGCAUAAAAUAUACACUAAUAAAAUCAUAAGUUUUUGAAAAUUUUAAUUGACAACAAAAUAUCCCAAUAAUAAAUAAUAAUAAACAAAUAGAAAUAUAAGGUAAAUGUUAAAAGAUACGUCAAAACAUAGACAAUACAAUACCUGAUGCCUAUAAAAAAUAAUUAUUAACAUCACAUAGGAAAAAGAUGUAAGGAAAUGGGUAAAAUUAUGAUAUUUUUGUAUUUUUUUUAAUCAAUUAUUUAGUGUAACAAAUAAUGAAUUAAAAUUAUAGAAGUGUUUACGUCCAUAACAAAGAUUUUGUAAAUUAUUAUUGAGUGUAUCCAUAAAUUUACAGGAAAAUAAACAAACAAGAAAAAAAUGUCUACAUUUACUCAAAAAACAAAAAAAAACAAGAAAAAAAAGUCAACAUUUAAUUUCAACCAAAUCAAUUUUUAAUAAAUAAUUAAUUACAAGAUCUUUAAAAAGAAUAAUAUUAAUUACAAGUUGUAUUCCAUCCAAGAAUAAUUACAGGUUGUAACAUUUGUUUGGAUACGCCGUACACACGCGAUAUUUCAAGAAAUAUUUGUUCUGAAUAUUAUUAUUUUGGCUUAAUUACACUUUUGGUCCUCAUGUUUUGGCCUACUCAUGAAACUGACCAUGCCCUUUUAAAACAGAACAAAACGGUCCUUCAAGUAUCAUUUUUGUUGCAUUUUUCAUCCUACCCCCCAUUUUAUUCUCCAAAAACGCAGAGAAAUGACAGUUUUAGACCUAUCCCCUAUGCUCAACCAUGAAAUAAACAAGGAAUAAAGCAUGUGGGUACAAAGAAUCCACUUUAUUCAACACACUAACCAAAAAAACCUAAUUUCUAAGAUAUAUUUCUAAUUAUGGUUUUUUUGGUUAGUGUGCUGAAUAAAAUAGAUUCCUUGUGCACACAUGUUUUAUUCCUUGUUUAUUUCAUGGUUGAGCAUAGGGGUAGGUCUAAAACCGUCUAAAACUGUCAUUUCUCUGCGUUUCUGAAGUUUGAAAAUAGGAGGUAGGACGAAAAAUGCAACAAAAAUGAUAAUUGAAGGACCGUUUUGUUCUGUUUUAAAAGGGCAUGACCAGUUUCGUGAGUAGGCCAGAACACGAGGACCAAAAGUGUAAUUAAGUCUAUUAUUUUCUACAAAAUCAAGAAAAUAAAGUUUUUUUUUUUUUUUUUAAGAUGCCAAAAUGAAAUAUAUUAACAAGAACAAAACCGCAUCUCCAGCACAAGGCGUGCCACAAGAGUGCAACUAAAGUAAAGUUAACAAACAGAGACCAAAAAUAAAACUGACAAGGCUAGCAAAUGCCUAAACAAGUUAUCGGACACGCCAGCCAGCUGUGACCUCCUAAACAGAAAAUAACGUUAGCUGCCUUCAUCCAUCAGUACGAGUGAAUCUUAACUUUUUCCAACAAGCUACACAUAUUGGUUUCCUUGUUUCUAAAAAGCCUAUUAUCACCUUCAUUUCAUAAAACCCACACACAAACAAAGUGUUGUUGAUCGAUCUAAUUAUACUACAAGAACAAGAACCUCCAAUAGACACUGUUGGAAAAAAUAGGAGACUUUUUUCUCUCUAAAUAAACGAAGUAGCAAACAAUCAUUGAAACGAACACCUAUAAAUGAAGGUGUCGGAUUGGAAUCAUACAACAUAACAAUUUCGACAAUUUUUUGAAUUGAGUGAGGAUUCAUGGACAUAUAGACUUUUCAAUCAGCGCAUAAGGUAAUUUUCGAGUUAUUGUAUCAACAAUUUUUACUUUUAAAAUUUUUAAAAGGUAUUUUUUACUUUCUUUACUUGCUCAGAGAAACAAAAUAACGUUGUUUUCUUAAAAAAAUAAAAAUAAAUACAUGUUCUUGCAAUGACAAAAGAAGUAUCACAUGACGACAAUAUAUAAUAUAUGCAAGAUCCGGGGUUCAAAUUCCGCCACCAAAAAAAAAAUAUCACACUAAGAAUUAUGAAACACGCAAAAUAUACGGACACCGCCGUUGUAGCAAUUGUAAUCAUCUAAGACUGGACACUGACUGCGAUGAAGCAAAAUAAACACAUGAUUAAUAAGUACCAAAACCUUUCACAGUUGUUGAUUAAUUCUUCUUGUUCCUCCCAUGUUGAUACAUUUGAAAAUACAGAGAACAUUUGUUUCCUUGUGCCUCACACUUGGAACAUCCAAUGAGUUUGUGAAAAUCAUGCAUAGCAUCCAUGUUGUCACUGAAACGAGCGGUGUUUUGGAUACCCUCGAGUUUGAACCGAGCCACUUCUCUUUCAUCUGGACGAACUUGACUCUUCACUUGUCUCCAAUUCGACAAAGUCUUCUUCACUUUAGGAUCAUCAAUAAAAGGAUCAACUGGUUUUUCGUAAGGGGUAUGUUCUAAUCGAGUUUCAUGAUCAUUAACUUUUUCUUUUUCCGACUCUAUCAUCUUCUUUUCAACCCCACUAAUGGAAACAUAUUUUCUCUUUUUGAUACAAUUUCUUUGACCUAAAAAUUGUUCUGUCUUGAAUCCAUCACCUUGAAGCACUUGAUCUCUUUGCAUCAAUUCCAUUGCAGACCUGUCGAUUGGUUUUUGAACUUAGAGUUUUUGGUUUUUUUCUAUGCAAGGUUUUUUGUUGCUAAUGUUAACUAUAUUGGUUUUUUGAACGGAGGAUUUAUCAUGCAAGGUAUUGUUUGCUUGAAUCCUCCUUAAUUUUGUUUAUGUUCUUGCAAGGCACUUUCUAAUCUUUUGUUCACAUGGAUUAACCUUUUGUUCACAUGGAUCAGUGAACAGUUCCUUGAUGAUAAAGAUACAAUAAAUCUAAUUUUUUUAUGGAAAGAUAUAAUAAA